UGUGUUGAUUUGUGAGUUUUGUCAAAAUUAAUCAUGCAAGUGUAUGUGAAAGGAUAAGUUUAUGAAAUAAUUCAAUCACAAUUAUUUCAAUCAUCAUUUAUACAAAUAUCUAACACUUUAAAUACAUGAUAAAUCAUUUAAAAACAUAUCACAUAAACUUUAUGAAAUAAUUCAAAACUUUGAAUCAAAACACCAAACCUUUUUGUUCUUGGCAAGAACAUCAAGAACAAUGAAGAACAUCCAUGAAAAACCCAAAUUUUUCCAUGAACCUUUUUCACCCAAAAACAUUCCAAAACCAUUCUUACUUAAGGGAAAUAACAUCUAACCAAACUAGGGUACUUAGGGGUUCCAAAGAACACAUUAAAACACUUUUAACAAGUCGACAAGAACCCAAAAAUUCACCCUUUGGAUUUGGCCGAAUUUUCCCAAAAGCAUGGCACCAAAUUUUAGCUCCAAUAUUCAUGCUCAUAUGAACAACAUCUACAACAUUUGAGAUAGCAAAUUUUCCAACAAAAUUUACUUUCAAAGAAGCAAGAAUAAAGCUUGUAACAAUUACAACUUUUAGAUCACAUACUAUGAACUACAAAACCCAAAAGGAUUCACCAACUACUAGACCUAGGCUCUGAUACCACUUGAAGGAAUUAUUUUGUGAAAACAUGUUCAUUUGAGCAACAUCAUAUAGCAUGCAAUUAACAAUUAAAGGCGGAAUCAUGCUUGUAUGCACUCAAAAACAAAACAUUACCAUGAAAUUCAAAGCCUAGUAGAUUGGUGAACCAAUUAAUCAACUCAAAACAAAGUGAGUUGAAAUUAAUACCUUUGUAGAUUCCUCUUUGCAUAAGCAAAGGCUAAUCACCCAAAGAGAUAGGGCCUUCAUUCCUUGCUUCUUAGAUCCAUGGAUUUGGAUGGAAGAAUAGGUUCUCCAAGUUCCCAAAAUUGAGAACCUCUAAGUCUCUUCACCAAGGUUAGAUUGUAGAAGAAAUGAGUGACCUUGGAGUAGUAGGAUUGCUAGAUGUACCCUCCAAGGUGUUGGCCUCUUUAGAGAGAAAAAUGGAGAGACAAUUCUCACCAAUUUUCCCCAAAAUAAACCCUUUUAACACUUAAUGAAUAUUAGUUAUAAAGUCAUUUAUAUAGUCACUUCUUUAAGUGACCUAAACAACCAAAACCCUAAUUCAUUCCAUAUGGCCGGCCAUUUAGGGAUUUUAGGGCUUUUGGGCUUUAAUGAAUCUUUAUUCAUUAAAUUGUCAUACAACUUAAGUUAAUGGGCUUGACGUUCGAAGCCCAUUGGGCCUUAAGGUCCAAAACUAUCCCGAAGUCUUUAACGAACUUAUUCGUUUGAUUAAUUAACAUAUUAAUUAAUCCUUGCCAUAAAUAAAUGAUUAAACCAUUUAAUCAUUCUUACUCAUUUCCGUUUAAUCUUCAAUCUCUACCUUUUAUGGUGUGCGAUCCAUUAGGUUCCUUUUAGCGAGGUAGUGGGCGAUUAAAACCAUUUUACAUCGAUUGUGAAUUGAAACUAUUUUCAAUUCUCCCUUUAGUGAUUACACACGUUUAGGGCUUCCACAAACCAUGAGUGACACCUAGCAGCAUAUCAUGGUUACCCAAGCUAAUCAGAAGAGGUGGAGAACCUAUUCAGUUCGAGAUUACAAAUGCAAUACGGUCCUUCUCUAAUCUAAUACUCUUGACCACAUUGUUUGGUUUGAUAGUUUAUUUUCUCAUGUCUACUAUCCAAUGUGUGUCUUGUGCUUAUAUGAUUACCUUGAAUGUGAUUAGGAACGCAUUCCCAAAUCUCAUUCAUACUCUGGCCAGAGAUUCAAAUCAUAUCAUAGAGUAUUCUCCCUCAAACGGUUUGAAGGUUAGAGAUCCCUUGUUGCGCAUUCACUUGUCUCCAUAGCUAAGCGGCUUGACCCCAACGAUGCCGUGGACACCCUCCUGAUGGAGUGACUUUGACAUAAUCAAAGAUCAAGGACUUAACCACAAGACAACUAUGAUGCCUCAGGUCAAAGGACUACUUUGCAUUAUCCCAACCAUGAGUUCUCAUGUGACAUGGAAUAUGAGAACCCUUCGUUGAUCGCGUUCAGUGAACUCAUUCUCUAUUGAGCACCUACCGUACUUGUCUUGAUGUCACACACACCAAUGACUCGAGACUAAUCACUCUCCCUGAGAGAAGACAUAGUACGUACUGAUCUUAACGGACUGUCAACGCCCAAUUGGCAAUCCUAUGAUCAGGAACGUUUAGGAUGUGUCUACGAAAGAAUGGUCUCAUGAAUCUAACUUCAUUAGAUUACAUUCUCCCAAUCACAUAUUCCUUGGACUUUAUCGUUUAAGCAUAUAACAUUUAUAUGAGACGGCUCAAACAAUAAUCUUUGCCCUUUAUAUGUAAAACUAGAUUAGUUUAACAUGUGAAAUGUCCGUAAAGUAUCAUCACAUGAUUGGCUUUAGGGCACAUUUCCAACAGUGACUUUGACAUAAUCAAAGAUCAAGGACUUAACCACACGACAAACGUGAUGCCUCAGGUCAAAGGACUACUUUGCAUUAUCCCAACCAUGAGUUCUCAUGUGACAUGAAUAUGAGAACUCUUCGUUGAUCGUGUUCAGUGAACUUAUUCUCUAUUGAGCACCUACAUACUUGUCUUGAUGUCACACACACCAAUGACUCGAGACUAAUCACUCUCCCUGAGAGAAAACACAGCACGUACUGAUCUUAACGGACUGUCAAUGCCCAAUUGGCAAUCCUAUGAUCAGGAACGUUUAGGAUGUGUCUACGAAAGAAUGGUCUCAUGAAUCUAACUUCUUUAGAUCGCAUUCUCCCAAUCACAUAUUCCUUGGACUUAUCGUUUAAGCAUAUAAUAUUUAUAUGAGACGGCUUAAAACAAUAAUCUUUGCCCUUGAUAUUAAACUAGAUUAGUUUAACAUGUGAAAUGUCCGUAAAGUAUCAUCAUAUUAUUGGUUUUAGGGCACAUUUCCAACAAUGAUUUGGUACUUGAUUACUUGAUUUUAUGACACGUAAUUUAGUAUUGUCAAUUACUAUAAUAAGGUUAUGUACCUAUUGAGCUUUUAAAGCUCACCCCUCUAUUGUUAUGUAGGUUUAAGAACUUGAAAUUGGUACCAGGUGAAAUACCCUACAACAAAAACUUAGAACCAACCGUACUAAUUAGCCAAACAUAAUAGUCAACUGAGUAUAGAUUAUUAGAAUCAUAUAAGCAUAUAAAUUAAACAAACUUAAAAGGAAAAACUUAACAAUGUGAACUUCAGUUAAGUUUUAAUCUUAGUACUUGACUUAAGUUCAGUUGAUUAAUAAAUUGUCAAUACUAGCUGAUAGGGAUUUUACUACACACGUAAAUAGGCUAAAAACUCCUAUAAUACUUGCAAGAAUGACAAGGUUAUUGUAGUAUAAACGGAUCUAGCAAGGUCGUUCUCCACAGGGAUUAUUAAAUAAUUUGAAACAAACCAAAUUCCAAUUAAUUAUUGUAAAGUAGAAAUUGAGAUGAUUGAUUUUAUAACCUACUUAAAUUAAAAACAAAUUUAAUUAAUAACAGUAAACUAAUCUGCAAUAUUACAAAUGAAAGAAAAGGAAAAGUUUUGGAGAAAUCAAAUUAAGAAAACACUAGGGUUCCACCAUCACCUAGCAAUCCUAUGAACUUUAACCAAUUACUUAUGAUCUACACAUGCCACUUUGAAGGCUAGAUUUUCCUAAUUCAUAUUCUACUUGGAACCUCCAACAUAGAACGUAUAUCUAACAAGCAACCCGUCCGGACGUUCAGAUCAAAUCUGAACAAGAAAUACUCAUUAUGCUUUAUGAAAACCCGUUGAAAAAUGAUGCAACCCUUAAGACGUGGUGUUCAUCCUAAGUGAAAUUACAAUUAUUAAUCACAAGAAGCCAACGUCAAUUUCAGGGAACCUUCCGACCAAAAUUGCAUCAAAUUACUUUUCUAAAGAUCCUAAUAGUGAUCAGGCAUUAAGACAAUUAGAUAGUUUUAAUCCCGGUGAUUAAUAAUUCAAAGUAUGCAUGCAAUCAAUCAUAAGCAAUUAAAUAAAAAUCACAUAUUCAUGCUAAGGCUCAAGGCUUCGCCCUAGCAAAAGGAAUUAGUUAUGCAUAUUCAUAAUUAAAAUCAUAAAAAAUAUUAUUAAUAAAAGAAUUGAAAACACCUUAAAGUAGAAAAUCUCCAAGAACCCUAGCAAUUCUCUCUGUCUCCAAAGUUGCAUAAAAGAAAGCGUAGCCAGAAAAACUCUGGACGGCAAAGUAAUAUAUGUUGCUAUCCCCCGCAAAAACCCUAAAAACCAUGUCCUUUAUUCCAACUAGGAAACUAAGAUAACUAAAAUAAAAUAGGAAGCAUAACCCUAAAUUAAAUGGUAAAAUUCGCCUAUAAUAUGAACAACCAUGUUUUGGACCCUUAAGCUGCUCCAAAACUGGCCCAAUAUAGCUGGUUUUGAUGAUUGAAAUAUUCUGAACACCUCUCCAGAAGGCCACGAACCCAUCCGAGGUCCUCUCGGACUCCGAAAAAACAAUUUAAGCCCAGAAUCGUCAUUUUCCGGCACUGCACACUGCUUCUUUAUUCCAUCGUCGGAAAAUAACCGCUUGGUAGAAAAAUCCCAAAUUUUGAUACAAACACACCAAGAGACAGCCAAACGUCCUCCAAUUUGAAUCACUCCAAAAUUCGUUUGUUUGAUCAUGUUUUUCUCCAGAGGAAGUCGGAUGUCCUAUAUUGAGAAUAUAAAUCAAAGUAUCAAAAUUUUUCCAAAAUAUUAACCAAAAUAUACUAAGAAUAGGGUAAAAUAUAUAAUAUGAAAUUGAUUCAUCAAAAUACCCCCAAACUUAGCUUUUUGCUUGUCCUCAAGCAAAACAAAUCUAGAAAACAAAAAUAAAAACUAACAAACUAGACACUUAACUAAAACUAACUGACAAAAAAUUUCACCUUCAAAGUUGCAAUACAUAGAACAUAUUAAAAAUCAGAACAUUUUUUCAAAAGUUCCAACCAAUCCCACCAUAGAGUCUAAGCAAUUUAGAAUCAAUUAGAAAAGAAUUCACAAACUUCCUCUGGUGUAAAGUGAACCAGCAUAGCUAAGGAUACUCGACUAAAACUCUUACCUCUCGUCCUUCUUUAUUUCACACAUACUAACUUUAAACAUAGCUAUUUUUUUUUUCAUUUUCGACUUUUUCUCUUUUUUUCAUAUAUAUAUUUUUUUUUUCAGUAACAGUAGUGGUCGUGCAAUGUCAAUUCUCUUAAGUUUUCAAUCCAACCCAUGUAGUGAGCUUUAGGUCAAUGACUCCCAAACCACUAGGGCUUUAGGGCACUAGGUGUAGAACACCCCUAAGCACUUAUUAACCUACACUGAAAAGGCUACGAAACCAACUAACCAUCCUACCCCAUGCCAAAACUCUACCGUUUGAUGCGAGAAUCACUGCUGAUUAGGUAGGACUGGCCCGGUUACUAGGCAAAGUCUCCGGUGGAACACUUAUUACUUUAUAACACAAACUAAUUUAACUUUAUUUAAAACAAAAAUUAAAAAUGAAACUUAGACUAAAAGUAAGUGUUUCAAUCUCACUCCCCACAAACCAUGUUGAUGUGAAUGUGCAAAUUGUCAAAGUAUAAUAUAUGAAUUAGUGUCUAAGCAACGAUAAAUAGAAAAGACUCUAAUGUGGGAUUAACCUUCACCAUGUCCAUUUGUUCUAACGUUUAAAAUAUUAUAUGGAUAUUAACUUAAGAAGAAUGAAAAUUUUAACCUGACCCAAAUUUUAACUUUCUCCUCUAGGUGUAGAAACAAAAAGAAAAACGAAAUGAACAAUAGAAUAAAACACAAAAACCCCAACUGACACUACAAAUAAAUGACAAAACUAUAAAAAGAAAAUAAAAUGAAAGAAAAUAUAAAACAAAACGAAAUUAAAGGAGAGAAAAAACUACUGGGCACACAUACAUGGCAUAUUGAAUAGCCAUGGGGUUUGAACCCCACCCUCAAAACAAAGGCCCAAGAAACAAUAGCCCAUCAUGGUAAUGAGAUGCAGCUGGCAUGCCAUGUUUAAAAUAGUGGUUGUUGAACCCUAAAGACGUUGAGUGUCUGUAAUGCCUCAAGGACCCUAGUUGCCUAAAGACCAACAUUGGAUUCCCUACAUGUGCCCUUGAGCCCAGAGCCAAACAGCUCUCUGUCCCUCCAUUUUCAAAACUCCUUUUCUGACAUACAUGAAAGACACACGAUGAAAACACGUGUCACACAUUCGUGGGGUAACUCUUUUGGAUUCCCAUAACACAUGCAUCUCAGACAAAUAUUUUCAUUUCAGAUUAUUUUGUGAGAAAUCCUAAGCUUCUCUCUCAAUCCAAGCGCACCUCCAUAUCAAAAAUAGCUCUCCCAUUUUUCUCAUCUCGUUCUCUCUUUCCAAGCCCACCUCAUUCUCAGCAAAAACCCAAAACAAUCAACUCUUGCCAUGGAAAUAAUGGUACAUUGAAACUCCACAUGCCCUUCAAAGGUAAUCAUCGCCCCUGUUUUGCUCAAUUUAUAUGUCCAGCUAAUGACGAAUGCAUGCUGAUCUAAUUCCUUUACGAGGAUGUUCAAGUGCACAACGAAAAGGGUCACACUAGUACCAAAAAACAGGUAAAUCCAACGUCGAUCGUCCAAAUAUCAUCUAUCUGCAGGUACAACUUAGUCACCCAGCCUUUGUUUAUUUUGUGUUCUUAGUACCUGGUUGAGCACCAUGAUUUUGUGACAGAUCCAUGUUGGUGUGUUGCGGAUAUAGUUGGUAUGCAUUGGUCCAUGAUCGAGAAGCUUCACAACAGCAAGGAAAAUGAGCACCGGCUACUACAUUGCAGAUCCGGGUCUUGCAAAGGUAAAAUCUUGUUCUUCGUUGUCGAUGAACCCUAAUCUGUGAGAAAGUUGCGUCAUUACAUCUAGAUGUAGUUAUACUGGUGUGGUAUUUGUGUAGAACAGUCGGAUCCAUGACAAAUCCGAGAGAAGGAAUGCUCAAACCGGAGAUCCACUGGAUAAAAGGCAUGACACAUCUUGAAAGUCUUGAUCUGUCGAUUAUGAAGGUAUUAACUCAUCCCUAGAUAAUAAAAGUUAUAAUGUCAGCAGGCUUUCUAUUGUGAGUUGUGUAGGAUGGCAAGCUAGCCUAAGGGCAAAGGAAAAAGACAUGACAACUCGGACAUCACAAAUCCGCCUCCCAUCCAAAGGUAAAACUAAUCCUGGGUUGUGUUUUAUGUCCCUACAUGGUUUCAUUUUAGUGUUCUUUGUGCAGGAUAGGCAGAUACAUAAUAAAUCCAAGGGAAAGAAAAGGAAUACACCCGCUACAGUGAACAAGAACAAUAAAAGCGUCAAAGAAGCCUGAUCGAUGCAUAUGGGAGGUAAAAUUUGAAUUCCUGCAAGUGUAAUUGUUGUAGAUUAGGUAAUAAAAGUUGUGGUGUAUGGACAUGUGAUUUAACUGUGCUGUGCAUCCAUGCAUCGUAAAACUAAGUUGUAGAAAAUAACUUCUCUAAAUUUAUGCCAUGAAACUGUAUUUGCAAGAAUCACUCCCAAACUUGCAUCUGUGAAUGACAUCAUGUUAAUUACUUUAAAUUUCAGCAUAGGAUAGAUGUGGUGGAUGUUAAUGUAGACUUGUUGUUGGGUACAUGAUUCCAGUAUAAGAUGUUCUACCUUUGUUUUCCUUCCUGCAACCUACAAUUAACCAAUAUGGGAUAAUUAAAAACAGAGCUAAAAUCAACUGCGUAAAUUAAGAAAAGAACACAUCUUUGGAUUUUUCACUUUUUUUUUUGUUUUUGUUUUGUUUUGUUUUGUUUUGUAUGUAUUUGCUUAUAGAAAUUUAAACUAAUAGAAAAAUGAAAAAUCAAACGAAAAGUAAAAUAAGGAAAGAGUUUAGAAAAAUUGGGUUGCCUCCCAAUAAGUGCUUUAUUUUAAGUUUGUAGCUAGACGUGGCAGAGGUUCGGUGGCUAGAUCACUGGUUCCUUCAGAGUCAAAGACUCACGUGCACUAAACUUCCUUAGGAAUGACUUUAGUAGAUACUUCUUGACCUUGAGCACACAACCCCUGCCCUCUGGUUCAAUGUCCAUGUUACUGUUUUGAAAAACUUGCUUAAGCAUAUAAAGUCAUUUCCACCGAGAUUCUUGUCUCCCUGGAAUUAACUUGAAACUGGAAUUUAAAAACCACACCUUCCUAUCAGGCUGUAUUUUCUUAAAAUUUGGGCUGCUUGGCAAAUUUUCAUGUUUUUUCUUAAUGUUAAUCAGUUGGUCAUUAUGUAGCACCAUUUGUUGCUGUGGUUUAGGACUUAUGCAAUCACGAGUCAAAUUCGAAGGCUUUAUGGACAUAUGGUUAGUUGAUGAUCUGCUUAUAAAUUUGGCCCUAGGUAAACCAUCUAAUGCAUUAACACGCAUGCAUUCUUGCUCAUCACCUGGAUGCAUGGUGGCUUCAAACAACCUAAAAACAACCAUUUGAUCUUCAACCCGGAAUGUUAGAGUUCCGGCUUCAACAUCAAUAAGAGUAUGGGCUAUUGCUAGAAAUGGGCGGCCCAAAAUGAUGGGUAUUGUCAAAUCCUCAUCCGUGUCCAACACCAUAAAAUCAGCUAGUAAAUAUAAAUUGUCAACCUUCACAAUAACAUCUUCAAGGACUCUUCUAGGGUAGGUAAUUGAACGGUUAGCUAAUUGAAUAAUGUUGGAGGUUGGUUUUAGCUCACCUUCACCUAAACGUUUAAAAAUAGAAUAAGGCAUUAAGUUUACACUAGCACCUAAAUCAAUUAAAGCAGUACUGAAAUCCCAAUUUCCAAUGGUGCAAGAGAUAGUAAAACUCCCUGGAUCUUUCUUCUUUGGUGGCAAUUGUUGCAAGAAGACAGCACUGCACUAUUCCGUUAGAAUCAUUUUUUUAGAAUCCACAAACUUCUUUUUCUUUGUGCAAACGUCCUUAAAAAACUUGGCAUAAGAUGUAAUGUUCUUGAUUGCAUCAAUUAAUGGAAGAUUAAUUUGAACUUUAGCUAAAGUUUUCAUUAAAUUUGCCAACUGUUGAUCUUUAGCUUUGGGUUUCAACCUUUCGGGAAAAGGCAUUGGAGGCAUAUAAACACUACCACAUCCUGGCCCAGGCUCUCACCACAUUCUGGGCUCGACUUCGCCGUAGCACGAUAUUAUCUGUUUUGGGCCCCGACCACGCCCUCACGGUUUUGUUUCUGGGAACUCAAUUGAGAACUUCCCAGUGGGUCACCCAUCAUGGGAUUGCUCUCACGUGAACUCGCUUAACUUCAGAGUUCCGAUGGAACCCGAAGCCAAGGAGCUCACAAAAGGCCUCAUGCUAGGUAAAGAUGGGAAUAUACAUAUAAGGCUUACUGGAUCCACUCCCCUGGGCGAUGGGGGAUGUUACAAACACGUUAUGCAAUUUUUAUGGCAGCUUCUGCAGUAUUUUCGGGUCUGUCUUGUGGCUGCCCAGAAUAUGUAAAAAUAUUAGAUUUUGCAAAAUUUCCCAAAUCUAUUUGUGGUUGUGGUGCCGCCCGUAAAUUUCCAGUGCAAUUUUCAUGUAUGUUGUCAUAACUUUUGACAGAUCGUAAAGUCCAUACAGCAUUGCAUUCUUCUCGUCGUCUUGGAUUAAGUACUGUUUGACUAGGAAAUAAGCCUGGCGGUCUUUCUGAAACCUGCAACGCAAUCUGCCCAAUUUGUUUUUCCAUGUUUUUCAUUGCUGCCUGUAUCUUUUGGAUUUCUUGACUAGUAGUAUUUGCUAAUUUUUGGAUUGCAACCUUCCAAGCAGCCUUAGGUGCUAUAGGUUGUUGUACCUGCUGUUGAAAUUGUGACCUGGGAUGCUGUUCUUUGUCCCACUUUAAAUUAGGAUGAUCUCUCCAACCCGGGUUAUAGAAAUUUGAAUACGGGUCAUAUUGGGGACGCUGAAAAUUAUUAAAUGCAUUAACCUGCUCUACUGUAAACUCCGAAAAAGCAUCUUUAUGUGGACAACUCAUAAAAUCAUGAGUUGUCAUGCUGCAAAUGUUGCAAACAACUUGUAAUGGAUGCGGUACAACAAUCUGUGAACUUGGAAUUCUUUGUAAUAACAUGUCAAAUUUUGCAUCAUGCCUUUUAUCCAUUUUUUCAAUUUGUUCUAUAACAUAAGGAGAGCCAUUAGACAUCUAAAAAACAGACCUAGAUUGCAGCUGCUCAACUGCCUACUGUUGUGUAUCUACUGCCAUUUUUUCAAAUAACAAGCAAGCUUCUUAUGCAUUUUUAUCUUUGUAUGAAACACCGCAUGAACCAUUGACAAUAGUUUUUGUACUCAUAUUUAACCCUCUGAAAAAUAUAUGCAUCUGAUUAGUACUGUUAAUACCGGAAUGUGGACAUUUUCUAAUCAACACUUUGAACUGCUCCCACGCCUCAUGAAACUCUUCAUUUGGAUUUUGUGCAAAAGAUAAAAUCUGAGUUCUCAUGUCAAGAGUCUUUGAAGCUGGAUAAUACUUGCUUAAAAAAAUUUCACUGAGUUGAACCUAAGUACUAUUGCUUCCAGAUGGAAGUGUGAGGUGCCACCUCCGUGCUUGAUCUUUCAGAGUGUAUAGAAAUAAAUGAAGCUUAAUAGAUUCGGCUGAAAAUCCUCUCACCAAAAUAUUCUUACAUCCCACUAAAAAUUUUGCAAUGUGCAUAUUAGGAUUGUCGACUGAGAACCCAUGAAAUGUAGGAAGAAUAUUCAACAUGUGCUGCUUUAUUUCAAAUAUAGACCCUUCCUCCAAAUCCGGAUAAGUAAUGCAACUUGGUAUGUUAGUGGCAUGAGCUGUUAAAGAAUCACCCAAGGGCUGACCCGCCUUUGGAAUAACAAAAGCCAUUGUCUCUUUAUUGUGCAGGUCCCCAAAAAUUAAAGAUUGCAGAAAAGUCCCUGCAGUGAAGGAACCCACUGCAAAUUUUGCUCCCUGCGUCUUCUCCUUAAUGUUUGCUCAAGUUCUGGAUCACAAAGAAACAAUUUUCUGCACUGUUGAACGGGUGCUGACCAUACACAGAUUGUUGUAAUCUGUACUGUUGUACUACAGUAAUCUGUAAAAAUAAAAUAAAAACAAAAAUUAAAAUUUUUUAAUUUUUUUUAUAUGUGUAUAUACAACAAUAACUAUGACACACCCCGUCCCAAAGGAGGGCAUGCUGGCCGUCACGUGAGAGUGACGUAACCAUUUGCACAGUACGGAAGCUUUAAUUAUACAAUUUAUAAGUUGAUACACCCGAAGGUGAGUCCUAAUUUUGUCUAAUCUGUCAGAACACCGUCGAAUUCCUCGUAGUCACCACACCUUUGUGAUUCCUGAACCUGGAGGGGCGCAAAACCAAAAUUGAGUGGGUGAGUAAAACAAUUCUUUUCCAAAUCCAAACAUUUCUCAAAACGUUGUAACCCCUCUCCGUAAAACCUGUAUACUUUCCCAGAAAUGUAAAAUAUAAAUAUACAUAUAUAUUCUCAACAUUUUUCUUUAUCAAUCAUGCCAUGCCAUGUCUAAUUCAACAGUUAAGUAUGGAUGCAUCAACAAUAAUCAUAUCAGGUGCAAGAAAGUAAUCAAUCGGAGGCCCUCUAAUAGUCCUGUACGGUUGAAUCUAGAGCUCGAAAUCUAUCACUAUCACUCUGCCGGAGUCACCUCUGUGACCUAUCCGGCCUUCUGCACACAAGUUACGCUCUAGUGCUUCUCUCAUCAAUCAUCUGUGCACAUAAUCUAAGGUCACCCACCAGUCGAAAUCUCACUAACACUCUUCGACUGGCCCGUCGCACCCACUCCGCGUGGACUGUGCGACCAGCAUCUACUUGGAUCCAAGGCGAGCGUGCGAUGCGGUGAAUACUAUAAGCACUAAACCAUGGUGCAGGAUUUGAGCUCAAUAUAUAUCAUCAUCAUCAUAACAGUAAUUAAAUACUCACCUGAUACUCACCUGUGCGUCCGCCGCACCAAUUCAUACAUAUGCAUCAUAUCUCAAUUCAUGCUUUUCAUAUCAUUUCAUGCAUGGCAAUUCGAUUUACAUUUCCAUAUAUAUUUCAUAUACUUCUAUGCAUGACCUUUCAAUUCACGUUUUCAUAUAAUUCUAUAUACCUUUCGUUUAAAACAUAAUUUCAUUCUAAUUCAAUUUCUGGGAAAACGUCAAGUAUAUAUAUAUACGGAAAACAAAACUGUCCACUCACAGAUUACAUCGACGUCUCGUAAGUCCCUGAGCAUCCCUUGGCCAUGCCUGAUGCCCGCAUAAACCUCACCUAUACAAAAGUAACCAUUUUGAUGUUAUUUAACGCCUAACCCAAAUCUUAGUUAAUAACUCCUCAUAUUUUGCUCAAAUUGGGUAUAUGAAUAUACCACCGUGACCUACACAACCUCAGGAUCAUCCCCAUAUUUUUAAAAUAAUUUUUCGAGGUCUCACGCGCCCCCACGUGCCUGACGUGGCACGGACCUACGCGCCCCCCACGCGCGGCCACGUGACAUGCACACUGACGGCUACAGUGAACGGCGUUAGGGAAUAUUCCGUCAAAUCCUAGUAUAUUCCGUUAAAAACUAACGGUUUCCGUUAAAACUGACUAACGGCGUCAGAAUAUUCCGUCAAACUUGACGGAAUAUUCCGUCACCUUCAACCUUCAGCUCCGGGGACCGUCGCCGGCGCCGGAAACUGGGUAAAUUUUCAAAACCACUAAUUUCACUCGUUUUUGGUCCAUUUUCUUCGAAUUUUACACCAAAAUGAAGCAUUUAACACCUACUAUCACGUUGGAAGGUUUUUAAGGUCCAAAAACAACAAGAUCAUACCUUUCCAAAUUUCAUCAAAUUCGGCCAAACUCGAACCCAACGAUCCCGACGUCCAUUUUGUUCAAACGAGGCACUCUGAGCCUCCUCGUGACCUCCUUAAGCUCACUGUGAGCUUUGUUUAACCUAAAACACGGCCAUAUUAAAGUUUGUGAACAGUGCUUAAUCACGGGGUGUUUUGAAACUAGGAUUUCAGAAAUGAAACUUACUCGAAAAUGGUAUCCCCGUGUUCGUGAAGUCAUCAGGAGUGUCGUGGUGAUCUUCACUUGGACGUUCGUGAAUGUUUUAGGUAAGUUUGUGUGUGAGCUUGUGAGUUCGAGAGUAAGAGAGAGAAUGAGAGAGUCUGAAAUGAAGAAAGAGAGAGAGAGUGUGUGACUGAGAAGGAUAAGAGCUGAGGAAGAGACAACCUACGGGUUUUGGGGAAGGAAUUCGGGAGGUAGGACCCUACCUAAAGUCCAAAUACAAAAUAACACAUACAAUUAUAAAUCUAACCCUAGUUUAGGAUCUUAAAGUAAAACAAACACCAAAAUUACGCACCUUAAUCCCGUUUAAGGGCGUUUUUGUAAUUUCACGUCCUCGGUAUUUAGUAAUUCUGGGACGGGCUGUGACAAUCUCCCCUCCUUAUAGAAUUUCGUCCCCGAAAUUCCAGUCAUCAACCAGAACAUCAAAACUCAUAGAAUAGCCUCGGAUACAUAUCCUGCAUCCGUUCUUCUGUCUCCCAUGUAGCUUCUUCCGCUGUAUGGUUUCUCCACAAUACUUUUACCAAGCUCACGGUCUUAUUCCUUAGAGUCUUAUCUUUCCAAUCCAGUAUAGUCACUGGUUCUUCAUCAUACGUCAAAUCCGGAUUAAUUUCCAAAAGUUGAGGAGGAAUCACAUGUGAAGGAUCUGAAACAUAAUGCCGAAGCAUCGAGACAUGAAACACAUUAUGUACCUUAGACAACUCUGGAGGCCAUUCAAUUCUAUAAUCAACUUCACCAACCUUUCGAUGAUCACGCUAAGUCCGAUUCAUUUAGGAUUUAACUUGCCUUCCUUUCCAACCCGAAUUAUACUUUUCUAUGGUGAACACUUCGAAAAUAUAAAACCAUUUACCUUAUAUACUCGAUUAGUGGCAUAUCUAUCUGUUGAUCUCUUUUGCCAUUCCUGGUUACUUCAGGUUAACUUAAUCACCUGAAUACUUUGAGGAGACUCAUCCAUAGUCUCAAGGUCUACUAAAACUCUUUCUUGAUUGAAUCUUUCUCUAUUCAGAAGCAUUUCAUUCACACGACACGCUUCAGGGACCCUAUGGCGUUAUUUCGGAAACUGCGCACCCAACAUACUUAAGAAACUCAGCAGUUCCGUAAUCCAAUUCUCUUUCCAUAAAACAAAUAAGUACCGUUGUCCUGACUGGGAAAAAGUUAUUACUCAACACUGGAGUAAAUAUACUAACUUGUUACGUUGCCCAACCAUCACUUCACAUCCGAUCGUAACCAUCUUGUAUACAAGGAAACUUGUACACAUAGUCCAAAGUAAUAUCUUUCCAUUUCCGUUUCGAAACAGAAAAUAGUUAUCUCAAUCCAAAGGUUUAUUUCUUUCUGCCUCAAUCUGCUGACCAAUAAAAAUGUCGAAUGGUAUGAUAAACCUUAUUACUUUCGGAAUAUUGCAGAAGUUAAACAAUGUACUUCGUCCAAAAUUGCUUACUUUAAACCCACAGCAUUAGGCACAUACUUUUCGUUUGCUUGUAUUCACAUACCAUCCGAUUCAAGAAUCAUGUACUCAUUCUUUUUCCUUUCUUUCUCUGCCUUGGUUAAUUCUUAAAUUUCUUCGUUAACCAUUUGAGUCUCGAGUACGACCUUACCAAAAGGCCUAACUUGAAACUUAGCAAGUAUAACUUCUUCUCGAUCUUUCAUUCUUAACUUUACUUUAGUUGGUUUCCAAUCCACAAGAAGAUAAUCUUGGCAAGCGUACCAAGCAUUAAUUCUUGCUGGAGUCUUCUCAUCAAGUGCUUCCGCUACAACAAUUCACGAUCACCCUGAUCGUACAAUCAUAAUCACUAAGUAAUUCAAUCCACCUUUGUUGCCUCAUAACAAAAUCCUUCCGAGUAAACAAAUAUUGGAGACUCUUUUGAUUUGUAAAAUCUUGCAUUCUUAUCAACAUAUAAUGUCUCCAUAACUUCACAGCAAGGAUGAUAAUCGUGACUUCCAAAUCACCAGUAGGGUAAUUCAUCUCAUGAGGUUCCAUUUGUCGUGAAACAUAUACAAUCACCCUAACAUUUGCAUCAACAUGCCUCCAAUACCAUUCAAGAAACAGCACUAAAAAUUUAUGAUUACCACUAUCUUCUAGGAUUACUAAAAUACGUGUAUGAGUGAGGAAAUACUUUAGUUGUUGAAUUCCUUACUCACAAUUUCCUUCCCACUCAUACAUAACUCUUUUUCUCAACAGUCUCGUCAAUGACAAAGCAAUGACUGAAAAAUCUUUCACAACCAUCCAAGAUAGCCUGGUAAGUUAAGAAAUUCCAAAUCUCAAUUACGACUCGUGGUUGUUCCAAAUUCUCAAUUCUGCUGCCUUUUAAGAAUUCAUUUGAAUACCUUAAGUAGAUAUAACCAAUCUCAGAAUGCCACUUGAUUCAUCUAACUUUAGCAUUUGCUACUUAGCAUACAACCGACGUUCCCUCAAACUUUGUAACAUCAACUUAAAAUAUCUAACAUGCUCUGCUCUAGGCUUAGAGUAUACCAGAAUAUCUUCAAUGAAAAUGAUAUCUAUUUAUCAAGGCAUUAUUGGAAUACUUCAUCCAAUAACUCAUAAAACAGCAUGAGUAUCCAUAUAGCAUCACCAAACUUCAUAAGGACCAUAACAAGUCCAGAAAACCAUCUUAUGAUCAACGUCACUUAUAAUAUUCAAUUGGUAUUAACCAGAUCUCAAGUCAAUCUUUGAAAAUAUACAAGCACCUUUGAACUGAUCAAAUGAGCGUCAAUACACCACAAGGGAUAACGGUUCUCAAUCGUUACCCGACUCCAUUGUCUAUAAUCAAUGGAUAGCCUUAAAAAUCCAUUUUCUUCCUCACCAACGAACUGGGCUCCUCAAAAGUGUUGUACUAGGUUGAAUAAAACUUUUAUCAACCAAUUCUUUCAACUGAAUUUCCAAUUCCCUUAACUCAUCAUGAACCAAUCUUUAACAUAAAUUUAUACCUGGCAACAAUUCAAUAAUGAACCUCAUAUCUCUGCCUGAAGACAAUCCAGAUAUACUUUCAGGGAAGACAUCAAGAAAAGUCUAACCCUUUCGACAUUAUUCACACUACUCCAAACAAUAUCAUUUAGCACCACAUGAGCUAAGUAUUUUUGGGCAGCCUUUCAAAACAAUCUCUUUGCUUUCACAGCAUAAAUAAUGGCUGAACUCACUUCACUUUGCAUGCCCACUCAUUAAGGUAACCUCUGAUCAUCCAGAUCGAUGGAAAAUGACUGGUUUCCCGUAACAAUCCAUCUAGUCACAAUUAUAACCAACUAAUCUAAUGGAAAUAAUUUAACCGACACAAUUCAUACUCUAUUACUACUAAGCAUUCUGAAUAAGUACAAUACUAACAUAAAAUAAUCUACCGGGUUGCUUGCUUAACGAAUCCACGAAUGAGUUAUUAAUAUUACGGUCUGCAGCCCGCAAUACUGAUAAAUCAUCGUUGUCUCGAUAAGUAGGCAACCACUCUCAAAGAUAUAACAUUACUAUUUUGUCACUCAAUGCAAAAUACAUACACUCGUCUCAACUACAUUUAUUUACUACUCUCUAGGUAAUAACAUACAUAAUAAGAAAUAUAUCAGCCGAAGUCAACUAGAAUGACCAAUACGGCUGAUUCAACUCUUAUCUCAAUAAUACGUCGGCCGGAUCCACUCUGCGUGGUCGGUACGGUCGAGUAUAUAACUCACCAAUUUCUCAUGUGUCAGUCGAAUCCACUUCUCAUGGUCUAUACGGCUGAACAUAUAACUCACCAAAUCUCUCUGUACUCACGGUCAAUCCGACCAAACUACUAAGUUCAUAAACUUGCUGAAUCGACACUAUGAUGCCAUGGAAACUGUUGGGUACAACUGAUUCUAGGGACGAUUCACAAUUCUGUGUCCCCUCUGUUCACAUAAACACAUUUAUUAAUUUCACACUUCCCAAAGUGUUAAUUUUGUACCUGCUGCACAAAGUACAUUUCCUUUACUCGAGACACCUUGUCUCAAAUAUCUGGGAUUACCAGUAUAUCCAUCACUUUUACUCUGACCAGCUACAUUAAAACCUCAGCUGGAAGAAUUAACUCUAGCUUCACUUCUUUCGAAGCUCUGAAUCUUUCUAUAUCCUUGAUAUGACGAAUCAUUAACUUUAUCGUCUUCUUUUAAUUCCCAUUCAUUUCUUAUUCCUCUUUACUCUCGUUGAUCAUGUUCUCAGAGUCCUCAAGGCUCAACAACAUCUCGUAUACUCCUGGUAAUAAAUACAAUGGAUAGUGGUCACUCAAAGAACGCCGCUUUUUCUUACUAUCCAGCAUAAACAACAUAACACCUCAACCAAAUUAACAGUAAUAUCUGGAUGGAACGAGGCAAGUCUGAAAACUUUCUAUAAUAUCCCUCGAUCAUCACCUUCAUUGUCUCAUAUUUGUAAACUCUUGUUUACUACCAUCGAUAAAUGCCGGAGGGAUAAACUUUUCCUUAAACAAGUCCUUAAACAAUUUUAAAUCGGCUGAUUCCUCUGGUGACAACAACUAACAAUCCUGUUUCCACCAGGAUACAAAUUCAUACCCAAAACCAGGUAGUCGUCUCGACCCCUUGUCAGAAGGAAGAUUCCUUUGACUUGCAUAAUCUGAAACAUCUUUUCCAAAUGGUUAAACCGUUACUUCGUUCCCUCAGGUUCAUCAUUUCAUAAGGUGAUUCAAAUUCGACUUAUAACCCGUCUUAAAAUGUCCAUUUUGAUAAUAUACUGAAUCACCAUAAUAAUAGUUUCCCCCAAACCGCUAAAUCAGGGAGACUAAAUUCCUCUAACUACGUGGUUUGCUACGAGGCGGUGUAGUUCUGACAGAAUUCACUAGAAACUUCUCAAGAUGUCCAAGAUUGCAACCAUGCUCUGAUACCAACUGACACACCCCGUCCCGAAGGAGGGCAUGCUGGCCGUCACGUGAGAGUGACGUAACCAUUUGCACAGUACGGAAGCUUUAAUUAUACAAUUUAUAAGUUGAUACACCCGAAGGUGAGUCCUAAUUUUGUCUAAUCUGUCAGAACACCGUCGAAUUCCUCGUAGUCACCACACCUUUGUGAUUCCUGAACCUGGAGGGGCGCAAAACCAAAAUUGAGUGGGUGAGUAAAACAAUUCUUUUCCAAAUCCAAACAUUUCUCAAAACGUUGUAACCCCUCUCCGUAAAACCUGUAUACUUUCCCAGAAAUGUAAAAUAUAAAUAUACAUAUAUAUUCUCAACAUUUUUCUUUAUCAAUCAUGCCAUGCCAUGUCUAAUUCAACAGUUAAGUAUGGAUGCAUCAACAAUAAUCAUAUCAGGUGCAAGAAAGUAAUCAACCGGAGGCCCUAUAAUAGUCCUGUACGGUUGAAUCUAGAGCUCAAAAUCUAUCACUAUCACUCUGCCGGAGUCACCUCUGUGACCUAUCCGGCCUUCUGCACACAAGUUACGCUCUAGUGCUUCUCUCAUCAAUCAUCUGUGCACAUAAUCUAAGGUCACCCACCAAUCGAAAUCUCACUAACACUCUUCGACUGGCCCGUCGCACCCACUCCGCGUGGACUGUGCGACCAGCAUCUACUUGGAUCCAAGGCGAGCGUGCGAUGCGGUGAAUACUAUAAGCACUAAACCAUGGUGCAGGAUUUGAGCUCAAUAUAUAUCAUCAUCAUCAUAACAGUAAUUAAAUACUCACCUGAUACUCACCUGUGCGUCCGCCGCACCAAUUCAUACAUAUGCAUCAUAUCUCAAUUCAUGCUUUUCAUAUCAUUUCAUGCAUGGCAAUUCGAUUUACAUUUCCAUAUAUAUUUCAUAUACUUCUAUGCAUGACCUUUCAAUUCACGUUUUCAUAUAAUUCUAUAUACCUUUCGUUUAAAACAUAAUUUCAUUCUAAUUCAAUUUCUGGGAAAACGUCAAGUAUAUAUAUAUACGGAAAACAAAACUGCCCACUCACAGAUUACAUCGACGUCUCGUAAGUCCCUGAGCAUCCCUUGGCCAUGCCCGAUGCCCGCAUAAACCUCACCUAUACAAAAGUAACCAUUUUGACGUUAUUUAACGCCUAACCCAAAUCUUAGUUAAUAACUCCUCAUAUUUUGCUCAAAUUGGGUAUAUGAAUAUACCACCGUGACCUACACAACCUCAGGAUCAUCCCCAUAUUUUUAAAAUAAUUUUUCGAGGUCUCACGCGCCCCCACGUGCCUGACGUGGCACGGACCUACGCGCCCCCCACGCGCGGCCACGUGACAUGCACACUGACGGCUACAGUGAACGGCGUUAGGGAAUAUUUCGUCAAAUCUUAGUAUAUUCCGUUAAAAACUAACGGUUUCCGUUAAAACUGACUAACGGCGUCAGAAUAUUCCGUCAAACUUGACGGAAUAUUCCGUCACCUUCAACCUUUAGCUCCGGCGACCGUCGCCGGCGCCGGAAACUGGGUAAAUUUUCAAAACCACUAAUUUCAAUCGUUUUUGGUCCAUUUUCUUCGAAUUUUACACCAAAAUGAAGCAUUUAACACCUACUAUCACGUUGGAAGGUUUUUAAGGUCCAAAAACAACAAGAUCAUACCUUUCCAAAUUUCAUCAAAUUCGGCCAAACUCGAACCCAACGAUCCCGACGUCCAUUUUGUUCAAACGAGGCACUCCGAGCCUCCUCGUGACCUCCUUAAGCUCACUGUGAGCUUUGUUUAACCUAAAACACGGCCAUAUUAAAGUGUGUGAACAGUGCUUAAUCACGGGGUGUUUUGAAACUAGGAUUUCAGAAAUGAAACUUACUCGAAAAUGGUAUCCCCAUGUUCGUGAAGUCAUCAGGAGUGUCGUGGUGAUCUCCACUUGGACGUUCGUGAAUGUUUUAGGUAAGUUUGUGUGUGAGCUUAUGAGUUCGAGAGUAAGAGAGAGAAUGAGAGAGUCUGAAAUGAAGAAAGAGAGAGAGAGUGUGUGACUGAGAAGGAUAAGAGCUGAGGAAGAGACAACCUACGGGUUUUGGGGAAGGAAUUCGGGAGGUAGGACCCUACCUAAAGUCCAAAUACAAAAUAACACAUACAAUUAUAAAUCUAACCCUAGUUUAGGAUCUUAAAGUAAAACAAACACCAAAAUUACGCACCUUAAUCCCGUUUAAGGGCGUUUUUAUAAUUUCACGUCCUCGGUAUUUAGUAAUUCUGGGACGGGCUGUGACAAACUAACUGAAAAUCUAAUUAGAACGAAUUAUUUUAAAUAAUCCCUGGCAACGGCACCAUUUUCUUGAUAGGGAUUUUACUACACACGUAAAUAGGCUAAAAACUCCUAUAAUACUUGCAAGAAUGAUAAAGUUAUUGUAGUAUAAACGAAUCUCACAAGGUCAUUCUCCACAGGGAUUAUUAAAUAAUUCGAAACAAGCCAAAUUCCAAUUAAUUAUUGUAAAGUAGAAAUUGAGAUGAUUGAUUUUAUAACCUACUUAAAUUAAAAACGAAUUUAAUUAAUAAAAGUAAACUAAUCUGCCAUAUUAAAGAUGAAAGAAAAGGAAAAGUUUUGGAGAAAUCAAAUUAAGAAAACACUAGGGUUCCACCAUCACCUAGCAAUCCUAUGAACUUUUACCAAUUACUUAUGAUCUACACAUGCCACUUUGAAGGUUAGAUUUUCCUAAUUCAUAUUCUACUUGGAACCUCCAACAUAAAACGUAUAUCUAACAUGCAACCCGUUUGGAUGUUCGGAUCAAAUCUGAACAUGAAGGACUCAUUAUGCUUUAUAAAAACCAGUUGAAAAACCAUGCAACCCUUAAGAUGUGGUAUUCAUCCUAAGUGUAAUUACAAUUAUUAAUCAUGAGAAGCCAACGUUAAUUUCAGGGAACCUUCCGACCCAAAUUGCAUCAAAUUACUUUUCUAAAGAUCCUAAUGGUGAUCAGGCAUUUAGACAAUUAGAUAGUUUUAAUCCCGAUGAUUAAUAAUUCAAAGUCAUAAGCAAUUAAAUAAAAAUCACAUAUUCAUGCUAAGGCUUAAGGUUUCGCCCUAGCAAAAGGAAUAAGUUACACAUAUUCAUAAUUAAAAUCAUAAAAAAUACUAUUAAGAAAAGGAUUGAAAAUACCUUAAAGUGGAAAAUCUCCAAGAACCCUAGCAAUUCUCUCUGUCUCCAAAGUUGCAUAAAAGAAAGCGUAGCCAGAAAAAUUUUGGAUGGCAAAGCAAUAUAUGUUGCUAUCCCCCGUAAAAACCCUAAAAAGCAGGUCCUUUAUUCCAACUAGGAAACUAAGAUAACUAAAAUAAAAUAGGAAGUAUAACUCUAAAUUAAAUGGUAAAAUUCGCCUAUAAUCUGAACAACCACGUUUUGGACCCUUAAGCUGCUCUAAAACUGGCCCAUUAUAGCUGGAUUUGAUGUUUGAAAUAUUUUGAACACCUCUCCAAAAGGCCAUGAACCCAUCAGAGGUCCUCUCGGGCUCCAAAAACACAAUUUAAGCCCAAAAAUGUCAUUUUCCCGCAUUGCACACUGCUUCUUUAUUCCAUCACCAGAAAAUAACCGCUUGGUAGAAAAAUCCCAAAUUUUGAUACGAACACACCAAGAGACACCCAAACGUCCUCCAUUUUGAAUCACUCCAAAAUUCGUCCGUUUGAUCAUGUUUUUCUCUAGAGGAACUCGGAUGUCCUAUAUUGAGAAUAUAAAUCAAAGUAUCAAAAUUCUUCCAAAAUAUUAACCAAAAUAUUUAAUUCCAACAAUGUUUAAUUCCAAGAAUAGGGUAAAAUAUAUAAUAUGAAAUUGACUCAUCACUACCAAACCCUACAAUGUUUAAUUCCAACAAGUUUAUAAAUAAGGCUUUGUAAAGUAUUGAACACAAGGAAGUUUUUGGCCGAAAAAACCCACCUAUAGGCUAAAAAAUUGGGGACUCUCCACUGAGUCCAAUUCACUAGUGUAAACAAAGGUUCAUACAAAGAACCACACAAAGCUCCAUUCCUAGAACCUAUCUAAGGAGCAGCUUUACCUUUGUGCAACCUUGCCUUACAUGAGACAGACUCAUUCGGUAUUCACGAAGUGGUAACUCCUCCUCAGCUCAUCACCUUAUGGCACCGUGAUCAACAUGAUCAAUGAUGUGAUAUGAUUUUAUGAUGCACAAGAGAUUUGGAUUCAAUUGACCAAUCAGGUUCUUCAGUCAAACAGUUGAAGAAGAACCUAACAUGAAUCCGAGAGAUUAGUCUAUGAAGGAUAAGAAAACAUAGGUUUAGACCAAAAGCUUAAUGAAAAACAAUUAAAAAAAUUCACCCCUAAUAUGCAGUGAAUGGGUGUUUGUACAUGAGACGGUUUUGUGGCUAGGGUUUUGGUUUAGAAGCUUAAAAGGUAGCUCUAGGCAAGAUGCACUCCUUUUCUGAAAAUUUGAAAAUCCUAACCAAGAACAAAUGAAACUUUCAAAACCCUUUUAUGGAAGAUAUGGAUGAUUUAGACAAGGGCAACAAGGGGACACGUGUCACGAGCCAAAGAGACCUUUCCAGAUCAAAGCUGACAGCUAGAGAACAGAAAAAAAAUUUGACUAGACAACUACAUUAAACAAAUGGAUUCUGGAAAAAAAUAAGCUUGACAUGCAUAUGCAAAUGUAUGAUUUAAACCUUUUGUAGCGAAUAUAGCUGGUGCUUUGACGAGUUCAAUCCCCAGUAGAAAUCCCAAAUCAGCAUUGUACCUUAACUCUAAAAUAUGAGCAUGUGUGGUGCAUUUACAAAUUUUGACAAGGAGAGCCAAACACUAAACCUAGUACUGAACAGAACUAGAUUGUCAAGAGGGUAGAUGGGAUGAGAUCAGAUUAGAUGUGAGGGUGGAGAGUUGAUUCAUUUAUUUUUUUUAGCCCUGUCAAGAAUUCUUGAUUCUUUUGUAAGAGGAAGUUUAUAUUUCCACCCCGUUGUUUUAGCUUCUCUUAUUUAUUUUAUUUUUGUAAACACGAAAGUAGAUUUGCAUUGAUGAAUUUGUAGGGUUACAAUCUCUGUUUACAAUUUUCCUCUAAUUCAGUCUAAUUUGAUGUAGACACAUAGGUUGUUGAUCCAAGGGUCAUGAUAACUUGAUCUCGGACGAACGAUUGAACGAUUGCUUCAAGUUUUGAGCUUGAAACAAUGCGUGGAUAGUCUUCACCUCUAAGUUUGAGUAUGACCUGCAGCACAGGUGAUGUUGAUGUGGGAUUUUGUUGAUUAAAGGGUCUUGGUGACUUGAUCUUGAAUCGAACGUUGUUACAAGUUUUAAGCUUGCAACAAAGUCUUGAAGAAAUCUGCACAAGUACUUGUUGAUUCUUAAAGGGAAUGCGUCGACUUUGGUCGAAAAAAAGCUUUAGCUUUGGUUGUAUGUUCUUCGAAGAGAGCUUUGGCAACAUAUUAUUCUGCAAAGAUUUGGCAAAGGUUCUCCUUUUGUGAGAAUUUUGGCCCUUCAAUGUAGAAAUUGCCUACCUUUAAGCUUGUUUGAGGACCUUGUAUUUAUAAACUUCUCAAAGCUUGCCUUUGGAUGGAUUGGGCUUUGAUUUGUGUCUUGAUUCAUCCAUGGGAGAAUUUAGGCAUGUUUUUGGCCUAAAUAUAUAGGGCUUUUUUUGCCUAUUUUGUGAGCGAUCUUCAAUUCUUGCUUGUUUUGUGAAGUUGCUUUAGCUUUCUUUCCGGUUUUGGGAGCAAUUUGGGCCUCUUGCCAAUUUUAAGGAGAUUUCUUCCCCUUGCCGGUUUUGGAAUGCUUUUGAGUUUCAUUUGCUUGAUUUGUGCCACAUGUCAUUGAUGACUUGUCCAUUUAUGAUGAGUCAUAUGCCACGUGGAGCUUUGUAAUGCAUCAUUUGCAUGCAACGAAAUUUACAUGUCUCUAAGUCUCUACACUAAGGAUGAGGUGUGAAGAUGAAAUGGAUGACUUAGAGGAAGAAAGAUUGCUAGCUAUCUUUCCCCUAAGUGGCCGGCCUCUAUGGAGAAAAAGUUUCUCUUCUUUUCUUCAAGAAAACCCUAGUGAGAGAAUGACUAUAAAGUUGCAUUUAUACCACCUCACAUGUGAGUGGCAAACUUGCUAUUAACCCAAGUUUGCUACCACCUACCCUUGGCCGGUGUUGACUUUGUUUUUGGGUUAAUUUCCAUUUAGUUAUAGUUGUCACAAAACCUAAACUCAAUGGGCGUUGUGGACCAAAAAACCCUUUUGGGCCCCGAAACCCAAAACCAACUUAAAAGCCCAAUACGAAUCUUUUGUAAGAUUAAUUAACUAAUUAAUUAAUCUUGACCAUUCUCAAUUAAACUAUUUAAUUGCUUAUCCAUCUCAUAUAUAUUUCUUUACUUUCUUCCUUACUCGGUGUAUGAUCCAUUAGGUUCCAAUUAGCAAGGCAGCGGGCGAUUGCUACUCUUAACGAUCGAUUGUUGAUGUGAAAUAUUCUAACACACAAAUUAAAUCCUAUUAAGAUAGUUGUAAUAUAUGAAAGUAGGGAUCGUUCUAGGCCGGGGAUUAACUAGGGCUGCUAAUCCACACAAAUAUGACUCAAAAAGACAAAACUAGACUUAAAAACACUUAACUAGACGCAAAGAACUCAAAAUAAACUAAAAAACUCAAAACGGCACAAAACAAUCAAAUAGACUCAAACUAGACACUAGAGGGUGAAUUGGACGAAAAUUGAUUUUAACUUGACUCAAAACACUUAAAAACACAAAUUGGACAGAUUCUAACUAAUUUGACUCAACAAAGUAAAGGGGGAUUGGGUUUUUGACGAAAUUAAAGUAACAACAAGUGCAUUAAAAACUUAAACAAAGUUGAACGAAUUUGGUGAAUUAAAUGGAUGAAGGCUAGCUAGAGGGUCCUUUUCCACACAUGACACACUUGCAUACAAAUCAAUCUCCAGUUGCUUUUUCUAUAAACCAUGAAUGACAAUGCCCAGAUUAACCGUGCCAUCACUAAUUAACCCUCAGAUUUUCCUUAAGUCAUUGAAUUGGAUGGGAUACGCAUCAUCAACCCAAAUCAUUCUUCAAUAGUCCCCUACAUGCACAUCAUAAUAAAGAUACAAUCAAAGAUCAUUAAGUUCUAUGAAAAUCAUAAGCAUUGACAAAGCAUUCGUAACUAUGACAUCAUGAUACUCAUGCUAGGAAUUUAACUUAACGCAAUCGUGACCAGCGACCUUCACUACUUAUGAAUAUAAGUUUGUAACGAUUAUGUGAAACUCCCUUAUUUUCUAGCAUCAAAUUUAAGCAUGCAAACUAAGUAGGCCUCCUUAAUCAACAUACAAGAAUAAGUUUUGAAUAAAACAGUUAAGCAUGUUGCAUUCACACUUUAUGAAAUCACAACUGGAAUUAAUCAAUUCAUAAUGCAAAUAUGUUCAUGGUUUCGAAAUUCCCCCUAGCUAAAAGGGGUUUAGCUCCUCAUGUUCACAAAACAAAGAUAAACAAACUUAAACAUUAAAACAAUUGAUAGAAUACACCUAGAAACGCUCCAACAAUUCAAAGAAUUUGAAUGGUAGGCACGGCACAAAGUUCUCUUCUUCCUUCCUUGCAGCUGCGGCACAAUGAGGUAUGUGUGGUGAAUUGUGUAGAAAUAUAUAGUAGGGGGUGGUGGUCUGAAUGAAUGAUGCAGCAAUUAUAUUUAUAGGGAGAAAAGGCGCGGCCUAGGUAGCAUUGGAAAAGGAUUAGCACUCCAAAACCCAAGUGGAAUGGGUUAAAACAAUCAGAACCCAAGGGGAAUUAGGAUGACACAUCAAAAACCAUCAGGAACAAGGAUAUAGGGUGCGGCACAACUAGGAAAACGGGUUCUGGAAGGGAUUGGGGCGCCAUUUUUGUAGGGAGAGGAAAUAAGGCUUCUAGAAUCUGAAAUAUGUAUUUUAAAUGCAUAAUUAUCCCUUAUAAAUGGUUGGAAUUAAGGCACAAACUGGUUUGGAUAAGAUAAGGUUAGGUAAGGCUAGAUUAAGAAAGGAUAAGAUAAGAUAAGGUUAGUUUGGAUAAGAUAAGGUUGGAUAAGGUUUUGGAUAAUGACUUCUUCUUUUGAACUGAUUCCUUAUCUUCUUUGUUUUGGAUUUAUUUUCUUCAUCUUUUCAACACAUUCCUAGCCUCAUGAACUUCAAAUUCGUCCAUCCAUCUUGCUCCACUCAUAAGCUAUCCAUUUGAUGCCCAAAACUGCCUCAAAAUGCUCCAAAUUGCACUUUCUUGCCGACUUUGUCAUUUGGACCUACAAACACACGAAAAUAGCUUAAAACACUAUAAUAAACACAAACUAAUUCUGAAAAUGCACGAAAACAAGCUAACUAAGUCACAUAAAUAUGCUCCUAUCAAUUGUGAAUUGAAACUACAUUUCAAUUAUCCCUUUCAUGAAGAUUAGUGUUUGCUAAUCCUUAAGGCUUCCACAAACCAUGAGUGACACCUAGCAGUAUGUCAUGGCUACCCAAGCUAAGUGGAAGUGGUUGGAGAACCUAUCCAGUUACAAUUACAAUGCAAUACGGUCUUUCUCUAGUACAAUACUGUUAAUCACAUUGUUUGAGUCGUUUGUUUCAUGUCUACUAUCCAAUGUGAUACUUGUCUAUAUGAGUCAAUUGAAUAUGAUUUGGAACAAACUUCCUAAGUCAUAUUCUUAUGCUUUGGCCAAAGACUCCCGAAUCAUAUCUCAGAGUAUUCUCCCUCCACCAUGGAAGGUUAGAGAUCCCUUGUUGUGCAUUUAUAUGCCUAUAUGACUAGAUAGCUUGACCCCAACAAUGCCGUGGACACUCUCAAUGGAAUGCUUUUAACAUGAUCAAAGAUCAAGGACCCAACCAUUAGACAUCUAUAAUGCCUCAGGUCAAAAGACUACUUUGCAUAUUGCAACUUACCAGUUCUUAUAUGACAUUCGAACUCCUUUUUUUAUCGUUGUUCAGUGUACUCAAUUACCUAUUGAGCACCUAUGUGUUGGUCUCAGUGUCCAACACUAAAUGACUUGAGACUAGUCAUAUUCACACUUGAGUUAACAUAACACAUAAUAACCUUAGCGGAUUGUCAAUGCCCAAUUGUCAAUCCUAUGGCUAGGAACGUUUUAGGAAUGAACAUAAGAUAAAAGUCUCAUUAAUCUAACUUACUUAGAUCACUUCUCUCUUAGAUUAAAUACAUUCCUUGGAUUCCUUAUUUCUUAAACACAUAAUACAAUAAAUAGUGAUUAACAAUAAGAUUUGCCCAUCAUUAAACAUAUAAUAGUUUAACACAAUAAGUACUCCAAAAGCUAUUACAUCAAAUGAGUGGCUUUGUAGGCAUACUUCCAACAAUCUCCCACUUGCACUCAAAGCCACCUUCCCAUGUAUCUAAUACCCAUAUUUUCCAUAUGGCAGUCAAGUUGGAUUUGAGACAUUGGCUUCGUCAGUAGAUCUGCUACGUUAUCGGCUGAGGCAACCUUGAGAAUGUUGAAUUCCUCCUCGGCAACAUAUCUUCUAAUGAUAUUAAAACGUCUAUCAAAAUGCUUGUUCUUUUGAUGAGGCCUGGGUUCCUUGGCUUAAGCUAUCGCCCCACUAUUAUCACAGUACAAAGUUACUGGUGAUGUAAUGGUUGGAACCACUACAAGUUCAGUAAUGUACUUCUUCAUCCAGAACGCUUAUUUGCCGGCUUCAGCUGCAGCGACAUAUUCAGCCUCCAUCGUGGAAUCAGCAAUUACAUCUUGUUUCUUGCUUUUCCAGCUGACAGCCCCACCAUUCAGAGUGAACACGUAUCCGAAGUUGAAACUUCUAUUAUCGACGUAAGAUUGGAAAUCUACUUCUGUAUAGGCUUCCACUCGCAACACUGUCGCUCAUCCAUAAAUGAGGAACAUGUCUUUAGUUCUUCUUAAGUACUUAAGGACAGUCUUGACAACUGCCCAGUGUUCUGAUCCUGGGUUAGAUUGAUAUCGACUAGUAAUGCUCAUAGCAUAUGCAAUAUCAAGCCUUGUGCAUAUCAUGGCAUACAUGAGACUUCCUAUGGUAGAAGCAUAAGGAAUAUCACUCACCUGUCGUAUUUCUUUAGGAGACUUAGGUCUCAUAGAUUUAGAAAGGUGAAUUCCAUGUCUCACAGAAAGAAAACCUUUCUUAAACUGUUCCAUCUGGAACCUACUUAGCACCUUAUCUAUGUACAUAGAUUGGGAUAAUCCAAUUAAUUUUCUAGAUCUAUCACGAUAAAGCUUUAUCCCAAGUACAUAAGAUGCAUCUCCCAAAUCUUUCACAUGGAAGGUUUUGGAUAACCACACUUUUACAUAAGAAAGUACUACAGCGUCAUUCCCGAAUAGUAAUAUGUCUAAGAAAGUACUACAAUGUCAUUCCCGAAUAGUAAUAUGUCAUCUACAUAUAACACUAGGAACACAACUACAUCCCCAACGACCUUUUGAUAAACACAAUUGUCAUCUUCAUUUUGAGUAAAACCAAACAAUUUGAUUUCAGUGUCAAAGCGAAUGUUCCAGCUCCUCUCGACUUUCUUAAGUCCAUAAAUGAACCUCUGAAGCUUGCAUACCUUAGACUUUUCAGACUUGGACACAAAACCUUCAGGUUGAGUCAUAUAGAGCUCUUCCUCUAGGUAGCCGUUCAGAAAGGCCGUCUUCACGUCCAUUUGCCAUAUCUCAUAAUCAUGGUAUGCAACUAUAGCAAGUAAAAUCCAAAUGGACUUAAUCAUGGCUAUAGGAGAGAAGGUUUCUUCAUAGUCAAUCCCUUCUCGUUGCCUAGAACCCUUGGCUACUAGUUUAGUCUUAUAAAUCUCCAUAUUAAGGUUUUUCCAUAGUCAAUCCUUUCUUGUUGCCUGUAAUCCUUGGCUACUAGUCUAGCCUUAUAAGUCUCCACGUUCCCAUCAACGCCUAUUUUCCUCUUGAAGACCCAUUUGUUUCGAACAAGUAUUAUACCUUCUGGAGGGUCUACAAGAGUCCAGACCUAAUUUUGAUACAUGGAAUCAACCUCAGAUUUCAUGGCCUCUUGCCAUCUCUUUGAAUCAAUGUCGAACAUUACUUCAGUGUAAUCUCUAGGGUCUUCUUUUGUGUCAUUGUCACUAAGAAGGUGCAAUUCCCCAAAGUCAUUAUCCAAGCCAUACCUCUUAGAUGGCUUACUGACUCGUUCAGAUCUACGUGGAGCUAGGGGUUGAGGAACAGGGUUGUCAAAUUGUCAAGUGCUUGUUUGUGGUUCAUCAUUAAUCUCAUUAAUUUCCAUCGUUUUACUUGUAGUUCCUUUGAGAACAAAUUCGUCCUCUAGAAACUUAGCGGUUCUGGUGACAAAGACUUUUUGGUCGUCAGGAUGGUAGAACUCAUAUCCCAUAGUUUCUCUAGGAUAUCCCACAAAAUACCACCUAACUGAUCUCACUUCAAGCUUGGUAGCUUCAAGCUUCUUGACAUAUGCUUCACAACCCCAAAUCUUAAUAUGAUUAAGACUUGGCUUUUUGCCAUGCCAUAUCUCAUAGGGCAUUUGUGAAACUGACUUAGAAGGUACUCUAUCAAGCAAGUAAGAUGAUGUAUAUAAAACGAAUCCCCAAAAUGUUAUUGGUAGAUCAACGGAACUCAUCAUAGAAGGAACCAUGUUCCUCAAGGUUUGAUUUCUCCUUUCAGAAACUCUAUUAAGUUGUGGAGUUCCUGGUGGAGUCCACUGUGAUAUUAUUCCACACUCUUUGAGAUAAUCUAGGAACUUGUUACUUAGAUACUCUCCCUCUCGAUCUGAUCUUAGGAUCUUUAUUUGUUUCCCAGUUUGCUUCUCAACUUCAUUCUUGAAUUCUUUGAACUUUUCAAAGGAUUCUGACUUGUACUUCAUAAGAUACACAUUGCCAAACCGAGAGUGAUCAUCGCUGAAUGUGAUAUAGCAGGGGAAGCCUCUUCUUGACAUAGUAGACAUUGGUCCACAUACGUCAAUGUAGAUUAACCCUAGAAUUUUAGUGGAACACUCUCCCUUCCCAGUGAAUGGAGAUUUGGUCAUCUUCCCUUUUAAGGAACAUUCAUAAGUACCCAUUUGGUCAUUACCUAAUGGGCGAAAAUAUCCGUCUUUCGACAUCUUGCGAAUCUUAUCAAGGUUCACAUGUCCAAGUUUAAGAUGCCACAUCUUUUCUUAGUUAACUUCUUCUUUAGCUCUUUUGGGUUUUGAGGUAUUCCCACUUUCAAUACAGUGCAUUCCAUUACUUGUCUCUAGGUAAAAAAGUCCCUCUAUCAUAUUACCAUGAGAGACAAUACUGAGUACCCAUCUCAUAAAAGCAUAGAGGUAGAAAUCAAAUUCUUUAUACAUGAAGGAAAAUAUAAACAAUUUUUAAGUUCCAAGACUUCCCCAGAGGGUAGUUUAAGAAUGUAGGUGCCUACUGCUUUUGCAAAGAUCUUAGUGCCGUUCCCAACUGAUAGGAGCAUAUUUGUACGACUUAGUUAGCUUGUUUUCUUGCUUUUAAUUAGCUAAACUAUGAUAAUUAUAGUGUUUAAAGUUAUUUUUGUGCAAUUUCAGGUUUUAGUGUCAAAGUAUGCACAAAGAAGCAAUUUGGAACAUUCUAGAGCAUUUUUGGGCCAAGAUUGGAUUGUGCAAGCAUGGAGGCAUGAGGAUGGACGAAUUUGAAGACAAAAAGAGGCUAUGAACAUGCUAAAAAUCUGGUGAAACAAAUACAAGUUGCAAGAAGGGAUAAAUUUCUAGAAGGAUUGACCAAAACUUCACUCAAAACCAAGAAAUUCUUCAAUGCCGUGGGCAUUGAUUCACUUUCACCAGAAAUUUGAGUGAUGAUGCAAUGCUUAAAUCACCAUGACAUGUGAGUGGAUGAUGCAAUGCUUAACUCACCAUGACAUGUAUUCAUGGAUGACUCAAUACCUAACCCACCAACAAUUCCCACUCUUUGCCUUGCUCACCUACUCAAUUCCACCAGAAUUUUGUGUUAAACAAGUCCAUCAUUUUCCUAUAAAUACCAUGGUAGCAACCUCAUUCAAAUCAUCCAGAAAUUAAUACACAUUUACAUUAGUUCCAAGGCUUGCAAAGAAGGAGGAGUGCUUGGAGUUGUGCUAGCCAUUCCAUUGGAGUUGUUGGAGCAUUCUAGGUGUAUUCUACUUUGUUUUUCUAUGUUUAAUAUCAAUUGUUUUUGUUUAAUUGCAAGUAUGAGGAACUAAUCCCCUACUUGGCUAGAGGUUAAUUCAAAGCCAUGAAUAUAUUUGUAAUAUGAAUUGAUUACCUUCAGUUGUGAUUUCUGAGUUGUGAUUUAAUUUGCUUAACUGCUUGAUUGAUAACUUAUUUUUGUAUGUCGAUUAAGAAUGCAUGCUUAAUUUACAUGCAUGAAUUUGAUGCUAGAAUAUAAGUGAAUUUCACCUAAUCGUUAUGAACUUAUAUUCAUAAGUAGUGAAGGUUGCUAGUCACAAUCACGUUAAGUAAAUUCUAGGCUGGAUUAACAUGCGUAUUCCAUAGUUAUGAAUGCCUAGUCAAUGUUUAUGAUUUCCGUUGAACUUAAUGAUCUUUGUUGAAUGUCUCUAUCAUGCGUAUUCCAUAGUUAGGGACUUUGAUGAGGAAUAAUUUGGUUGUAAUGCGUAUUCCAUUCAAUCCAAUGAAUCUAGGGAAACCUAAGAGUUAAUUUAAGCGAACCUAAUUAACUUGGAACAUUGUCAUUCACAAUUUAUUGAAAGAACAACUGAAAAUCAAUUUAGGUUGCAUAUGUGUCAUGUGUGGAGAAGAACCCUCUAGCUAGUCCGUCACCUAUCCUUUCACCUUAAUUCAUGCUUUUGUCAAUUCUGUAAUUUAUUUAAGUUUAAUUUACUUCUCGUCAAAACCAAACCCCCCCCCAUUAUUAAAUUAUAUUAUUUAGUUAGUUUUCAUUGUUGUUAGUCUUUUAAUUCAAUUUCCGUCCAUUUCAGUUCCUAGUGUCUAAAUUGAUUGUUUUCAUUAUGUUGAGUCAUUCUAAGUGUGUUUCGAGUUAUUAGAGUUUUUAGCCUAGUUUUGUGUCCUUGAGUCUUGUUUAAUAUUUUUAAAUUAAUUUAGAAUAGAUUAGCAAUCCCUCUUAAUCUCCGGCCUAGAACGAUACCCUACUUACAUCUAUACUACAAUUGUCAAAAAGAGGGUUUAAUUUGUGUGUCAAGUAAUUUUCGCAUCAAAUUUUGGCGCCGUUGCCGGGCCUUUUAUGCAAUUACAUAAAGUUUUGAUACUUUUGUGUAUUUGCACUUUGGCCCAAAAGUUUACGUUUUUACGUUUAGGUCCAAAAACGCUAAAGGACAAAUUGUUUUGCUCCUUUAAUGAAGUUUUUACAUUGUUUAAAUUUUGGGUUCUAGUGUAAUUACAUGAAGUAGUGGACUUUUGUGUUCUUACAAAGUGACCCCAAAAGUUUAUGUUUUUGCAAUAUUGCCCAAAGGUUGUGGUAAUUGCAUUUUGGCCCAAAUUAGGUAGAGAACAAAAUUGUUUUGUCUCUUUAAAUGAGAAUUGGAUUUUCAUUUCAUUUAGCUCCAUUUAAAUCAAUUUUAUGGAUACAAAAACCAAAUGAAAAUGUUGCAUUCAAUUUAAUUAGUUAAAGUGUUAAUUAAUUAAAGGAUGAUUAUGAACCUAAGCCUAAUAUAUUGAGCUAUGUGAAAGGCCGUUUCAAAUUUGUUUGAACCAGGGGAAUGUGUAGAUUAGAUUUUGGUUGUAAUUUGAUUUGAUCAAAUGUUGUAAAAGGGCAUAAGCCCUUCUUUACUUUAAGGUAAUUUGUUUUAUGCAAAUGUUGUAAUGAGCAUAAGCUCACCUUUACUUUGAAGUACUUCUUUCUUGCUUUAUUUGAUAUGCAUGAAAAUGAAGUAGUUGGGUCCAACGCCCCUAAGACAACACGCCUUAAUGUGAUUAAACGCGUAACUAAAAUCAAUCUCCAUCCCUAGACCGAGAUUCAACACAAGGCUCGUGUUGAAUCUAAACAAAGGUUCAUAGUCAUCCUAAGGCCCUAAGGCAACUAUAUAGUCCAUCAAAUGAAUGCAAAGUUUAUGUUAGUAGUAUCAUAUACUCUUGCUUUAAAAACCGUUUUAUAAGCAUAGUGGGAGUAUUAUAUACAACUAAAACAAUCAUAUGGACCAAUAGUUGUAAUAGGACCAAAAUUGUUUUAAUAAAGAUUAAAAUGAAUAUUUAUAUGUGAUGAGACCUAAAACCCUCAACCAAACCAUUAUUAAGUUGAUAAGCGUGAGAGUGCUUUGAACACUCUUUCGUGGCCUUCCACCGUGGUGGGCUUCAAUCGUUUGUGACUCAUACACCGUAUUCGUCCAGUUCUGGGGUUGCAAAGUAUGUGCUUACAUUCAGGAGAAGCCUAUACACAUAUGAUGAAGUGAAAGGUAGGCAACGAGUGUGGUCAAUAUGAUAUUCUUCUGAGGCCAUUCUUGAACCCCUACUUGAACUAGCAUGGUGGGAAUGACUUAACUAAGUGCAAUGUGCCAAUAUGAUAUUCUUCUGAGACAUCAUUCUCUAGAGGCCAAACUAGAUGGGUACUUGCAAGAGAUGCAAAUGAGUAAGCGUACUCUCUCAUUAUUAUUAAUGCUAGCCAAUAUGAUUUUCUUCUGAGGUGGGCUUGGUAGUAGUGAGUCUCCCAUACCCUACUAAGAGUUUCCUCCAAAACUCUCGAAUUCCAAUGAGGGAUAUGGACUUUGCCAAAAAUAGUGGGUGGUGCUAUUUGAUUUAAAGACCCGAAUCAAAUGGCUUAAAAUCAAUCAAUUUAUAUUCGUUAUGUAUUUGUUUACCAAUAUAUUUGCAAACGCUAUCCAACACUUGACAAAUAAAAGCCGAAAACUUUAGUUUCCGGACUUGGUACUACAAAACCAUAGAUUGUCUUUAAUGGCUUGUAAAUGUACCUAAGUAGUCUCAUCCUCACAAUCUUCCUAUUGAUAAUGUAUCUUGUGGGAUAUCCUUAAAUUAACUUUUGGAUAUCGCUUCUAUAAACCAACUAACAAAUGUUGUUUUGUUGGGUAGUUCAUUGUAAUCCUACAAUGUGAUUUGCCUAAGAGCUAAUGAACGAGAGAUAGAACUCAAAGGAUGGGUUCUUUGAGAGACAAGAAAGUAAUCAACAAAUAUAACAACCUAGUUCCUAUACCAAAGGCUCCAAGGUAGUCGAGAAGGAUUUAUAAACCGUCUCAGUUGAAUGGUUUGAACUUUAUGACUAUGUCAUAGAGUUACACCUCUUAAUUCGAAAGAAAUAAGAAUGAAAAUCCUUAUGACUACAUUGAGUGUAUAUAUGAUAUAUACUCAAGGAAAUGGUAAAGUACCAUUUGACCCAAAAUAAUGAAACCUUCAUAAGCUAAUUGGUAGCUUAAGGUGACUACAAUCAAAGAGAAUGGUUGACUUUGAAGAAACCAUCUUUGAGAUAGUCUAGGUUUCAAUUAAUUCGAAGAUUGCUAGCUACAACUAAAUUGUGAUUCAAUGUUUGGACAUUAUAUGGGUUUUCCGAAACCAUUAUUAAGAUAGUCUUGAUAAUAUAUGUCUAAAACUAUAAAUCACAAGACAUGUAAGUUGUAGAGAUCCAUCCAUCAUGGAUCUUAGCAAGCUAGUGGGAGCUAUAAGCAUCUUAUGAGAAAAGGAUCAAAUCGUUUGAUUUCUCAUAAAGAUGUAAAUGAAUCUUUUGUUUACUAGGUUUACAAAAGAUUAGUGGGAGUUAAUAAUGUUCCUAAAAUUUAAAAUAUAUAUAUGAUAUAUUAAUUUUGGAAAUGAAAAGAAUACUUCUCCAUUAAAGUUAUGACUUUAAAACAUUAUAUGAAGAUAGAAUGUAUAUGGAAGUUAAUCAUGUUCCUAAAAUUUAAAUAUAUAUAUGAUAUAUUAAUUUUGGAAAUGAAAAGAAUACUUCUUCGUUAACGUUAUGACUUUAAAAACAUUAUAUGAAGAUAGAAUGUAUAUGGGAGACAUAGUAUAUAUACAUGGGAUGGAAAUCUAUAUUGAUAGAUUUUAGGAUAUAAUUGGAUUAUAUCAAGCCCUAAAUAUAGACAAAAGUUGAUAGGAAGUUUCUCAUAUGAUGAUGAACUUCAAUCAAAUGGACAACUCUAGUAAGACUAAGGAGUUGCUCUUCUCAAAGAGAACGUACUCUUUGACUCCCAAAGAAAUAAUGCGUAAAUAGAAUCCUUUAUGCAUACGCAGAAAGGUGAUUUAUGUAUUUCAUAUUGUAUGAAAAACAUUGAUAUGAGUUGUACCUAGAAAGGUGCAAGACGAUAUCAGUGCAAGCCCAGGAUCAGAACCAUGGCAACUGUCAAGUGAGUCCUUAAGUAUUUAAGAAAUACUAAAGGAUAAAUUCCUCAAAGAUCGAGGAAGAAUUAGAGUAACGUAAUGGAACCGUAAAUGUAUUAGAUUAUGAAUCUAAUCCAUCAUUGGAUGUUUCUUCAUUAUGAAUGAAGAGAUAAACAGAUAUCUCUUUAUUAUGACUAAAGAUAUUUGGAUGGAAACAUUAAAGUAAUGACUUUAGUGUGUUCCAUUAUGAAUGCAAAAUAUAUUGCCAUAUAGAAGUUUACAACAAUGUUGUUUGGAUGGGAAAGUUCAUUUAUGAACUCUCUAUUCGGUUCCAACCAGAAAGUGUAUGACACUAAUGGGGCGAUAGCUCAAGCCAGGGAAUCAAGGUCUCAACAAGCUGAUUGGCUCUAGUGCAAGUGGGAGAUUGUUUGAAAUGUGCCCUAAAACCAAUCAUAUGAUGAUACUUUACGGACAUUUCACAUGUUAAACUAAUCUAGUUUAAUAUCAAGGGCAUAGAUUAUUGUUUUAAGCCGUCUCAUAUAAAUGUUAUAUGCUUAAACGAUAAGUCCAAGGAAUAUGUGAUUGGGAGAAUACGAUCUAAAGAAGUUAGAUUCAUGAGAUCAUUCUUUCGUAGACACAUCCUAAACGUUCCUGAUCAUAGGAUUGCCAAUUGGGCAUUGACAGUCCGUUAAGAUCAGUACGUGCUGUGUCUUCUCUCAGGGAGAGUGACUAGUCUCGAGUCAUUGAUGUGUGUGACAUCAAGACAAGUACGUAGGUGCUCAAUAGAGAAUGAGUUCACUGAACACGAUCAACGAAGAGUUCUCAUAUUCAUGUCACAUGAGAACUCAUGGUUGGGAUAAUGCAAAGUAGUCAUUUGACCUGAGGCAUCACAGCUGUCUUGUGCUUAAGUCCUUGAUCUUUGAUUAUGUCAAAGUCACCCCAUCCUCGGUGUCCACGGCAUCGUUGGGGUUAAGCUAUUUAGCCAUGGAGGCAAGUGAAUGUGCAACAAGGGAUCUCUAACCUUCAAACCGUUUGAGGGAGAAUACCCUAUGAUAUGAUUAAGAAUCUUUGGCCAAAGUUUGAAUGAGAUUUAGGAAGGCGUUCCAAAUCACAUUCAAGGUAAUCAUAUAAGCACACGAAUCACAUUGGAUAGUAGACAUGAAUAAACUAUCAAACCAAACAAUGUGGUCAAGAGUAUUGUAUUAGAGAAAGACCAUAUUGCAUUUGUAAUCCUAAACUGAAUAGGUUCUCCACCUGAUGUGAAAAUUAACUUGACACACAAAUUAAACCCUAUUGAUGACAAUUGUAGUAAUGAUGCAAGUAGGGAUCGUUCUAGACCGGGGAUUAACUAGGGAUGCUAAUCAACACAAAUAAGACUCAAAAACACUAAACUAGACUCUAUAGAUUCAAAACUAACUCAAAACACUCAAAACAGCAAAUAACAACCAAAAAGACUCAAUUCUAGACCUAACAAGUGAUUUGGACGAAAAUAGGACUUCAAAGACUCAAAAAGACUUAAAAGAAACAAGUUUUGACUCUAAAAACAAGACUUAAAAGUAAGGGGAUUGGUUUUGACGAAAUUGAACUUUUAAAACAUAAACUUUGUAAACAAACUUAAAGGCUCACGAAAUUGAUGAAAUAGAAUGGUGAAAGGCUAGUUAGAGGGUUUCUUCUCCACACAUGAAACAUAUGCACACGACUUGAUUUCCAGUUACUUUUUCAACAAACCAUGAAUGACAAUGCCCCAAAUUAACUAGAUUGCACCAAUUAAUUCUCAGAUUUCCCUAGAUUCAUUAAAUUGAAUGGAAUACACAUUACAACCAAAUUAUUCUUAUCCAGGACCCUAACUAUGGAAUACGCAUGAUAGAGACACAUAUCAAAGAUCAUUAAGUUCAAUGGAAAUCAUAAGCAUUGACGAGGCAUUCAUAACUAUGGGAUACGCAUGUUACUCUUGCCAAGGAUUUACUUAACACAAUCGUGACUAGCGACUUUUACUACUUAUGAAUAUAAGUUAAUAACGAUUAGGUGAAAUUCCCUUAUACUCUAGCAUCAAAUUCAUGCAUGCAACUUAAGUGUCGACCCUCAAUCAACAUACAUAAACAUGUUAUCAAUCAAAUAGAUAAGUAAACCACAUUCACGACUUAUGAAAUCAUAACUGGAGGAAAUCAAGUCAUAUAAAACAUAUGAUCAUGGCUUUGAAUUCCCCUCUAACUAUAAAGAAAUUAGUUCCUCAUGUUCGCAAAUAAACAAAGAUAAAUAAAUCUAAACAUUGAAAUAAAGAUAGAAAACACCUAGAAACGCUCCAACAAUCCAAGCUCCUUGAAUGGCAUGCACGGCUCCAAGAGUCUCCUUCUUUCUCCUUUGCAAACUCACGGCACACAAGGGAUGAUUGGGUGAAUGAUGUAGUGAAAAUCUGGUAGAGGGUGGUGAAUGAAUGGUGCGGUAUAAGGUUGUAUUUAUAGGCUGAAAAUCCCAACUCCUAGGUAGCAAAGGACAAGGUUUUAAAGGUCUAAUCUGCAUAGGACAAUAACAUACAAUCCUAUAAGGAAAACAAGUCAGAAAUCCAAAGGGAAUGGGAGAUAAGGUGCGGCACAAAACUAGCAGAUGAUAAGGCUUCUAGAAAUCUGAAAUCCCAAGGGAAAUAGGACAUAGGGUGCGGCAUAAAGGGUUGUUUCUAGAAAGAAAUACAAGGCAGAUUUUUAGGCUUCUAGAAAGGUUCUAGGUGCCAUCUUUGUAGGAAAGGAUUAGGUUUUCUAGAAAUCUGAUUUUAAGCAUCCUAAUAUAGCUAGGAAUCCUCCCAAGUAGCUGAAAUAUAGAUGGAUUAGGAUUAGGAUAAGAUAGGAUAGGAUAGGAUAGGAUAGGAUUGGGUAGGAUAGGGUUUGGAUAAUGUUUUGGAUAAGGUUUCUUCACUUGAGCUGAUUCUUUGGCUUUAACUUCCCUUCUUCAAGUGGGAAACCUUGUUUGAGUAGGAAACUUCAAUCUUCUAGGAAUCCAACUUCACUUAGGAAUCCUUCUUCAACUAGGAAUCCAUGUUUGAUUAGGAUUUCAUCUUCAAUUAAGCACUUUCCCACUUCAAUUAGGAAACUUUGCAUCUUCAAGUCUUCAACUUUGAAACACAUUCCUAGCUCUUCAUUCCUUCAAAUUCGUCCAUUCAUUGUGCUCCACAUGCAUGAGUUCCAUUCUAGCUCAAUUUUGCUCCAAAAUGCUCCAAAUUGCAUCUUUUUGCUUACUUUGUCCUUAAAACUUGAAAACACAUGAAAAUAGCUUAAAAGACUAACUUAACUAAGAAAACACAACAUAAAUGCAUAAAAACUAACUAACUAAGGUGCAUAAAUAUGCUCCUAUCAAAUUCCCCACACUUAGCUUUUGCUAGUCCUCGAGCAAAACAAAGAAACACAACGAAACGAAACAAAAUAAUCAAAACAUAACCUAAACCUUCCAACGUUGCCUCAGGGAUUCCCAAUGCACGUGACAUAUUAAAAAUCAUCAUUCCCACAGAUUUUAGUCAUCUUCUCACUUAAGCACAUACUUAAUCAUAGUCACCACGUACUAGUUCACAUUUAACCAAUUAAAACAUGAUUUUGAAUGUAGUAACAUGCCUUAGAGAAUUUACUCAAGUCCUUACUAGAUAUGCACUCAAUUUUCACACAGAUUUUCUAACUCCACACCCUAUACUAGUUAUAUGUGAGAAGAUUGAUGUAAAUAUGAAAACGAACGCUCACAUAUAUGUAUAACAAAGAAAGCAUUUUCGGGAGUUAAUAAGCAUUUAGAUAUGAUCUCAUGAAUGGAAUACUACUACUUAGAUGCGAGAACCAGGGAUAUCAUUUGCUCAUACCAAUUCCAAACUCCACAUAUUGAAACACAUAACAAUCAAGAUAGAAGCAAAUGGUUGUAACAGGGCUAAGGUAUUGGCUAACAAAGAAAGGGUAGGAUAAACAAACAUUCUUAAAGUAUAAUAAGCAAAGUAAUGAAAUUGACACUUAGAAUUCACUUUUGUAUGCAAAAAUCAAUUUUGAAAUACAAGGGGAAGACUCAUGCAACACUUAGGGCCAAAUUCAAGCUUUUUGGACCCUUUCUUCAACAACCAACACUUUAGAGCUUCUUUUCACACAUUGUUCAACUCUUCUUCAUUCUUUUCACAGUUUUUUUCUUCAUUUUUUCUUUUCCUACGAAUUUUGCUCUUUUCUUCUUUUUUUUUUUUUUUUUUUUUCAUCUCUUUCUCUAACCCGUGCCCUUCUACUUCUUUUGGCACACAAAAUUUCCCUUCCUCCACACUUAUCUUUCUGCAUAAUGUUGAUCAAAAGGAAUUCCCUCUAAGUCAUGCUUUAUUAUCCUUUAAGAACAAGGGUAUGGAUAGUCCUAAUCUAGGCUAGGUAAGGAUAAUGUGGCUAACAAAGAAAAUGGCUAACUAAGGCUCAAAAGGGUAAACCUACAAAACAAAUGCAUGGUAUGAAGGCUUUUUGGCUCUGGUGGUAACUACUAAACAACUUCAUCUUAUUAGUUAUGCUAAUCAAUUUUUAUGCUUUGAAUGAAGUGGGUAUGAGUUCUAAUAUUUGGAUCUAUAAUGAUAACACGCCUUCUAAGUAGCAACCAAGCAAAGAAGGAUGAGAUCAUGCAACGACUUUAGAAAACAACAAAUUCACAGAUUAUUAACUCUCCAAAGAUUGUUUAGGCUCAAGUCUCUCAGGGUUGAAGCGUUAGUUUGAGUUCCUUCCUUCAAGCAUGUUACAAAAACUGAUUUUUUUCCUUUGUGAUUACAUGUGAAUUCGUAAGUUAUAUCCACAACCAAGCAUAAACCAAAGAGCAUAUCAAACUUCCAUCCAUGUUUACAAUUCUCUUUAACAGUCAUGCAAUUAAAAACCGAAUCCUCAUCAUUGUGUUGGAAGGUACUCUAAGACACAAACAAACACACAAAAACGACUCUUUUUGGAUUUUUCAAAACAAGUUUUCAAAUUUUUAUGGGAUUUUCGGAUUUUUCAUGUUAAAACACUAAAAUGCUUCAAAACACACUAAAAACACUUAAAAACAGUGAAAAACAACCUCUGAAAUGUUAGGUGGUAAAAUCCUACGAAUUUUUCAAUAAAAACACUUGUUUACCCCCCCCACACUUAAACCAAACAUUGUCCUCAAUGUGUCAAACAUAGACUCACACAAAAACAAGCUAACAACACAACUAGCAAACAUGACAAAUAUGGAAAAAUAAAAGCAAUAAAGAGUAGGGUUUAGGAACGCAAAUCUGGUUGUGAUGCCGGAGCUUCCUGGGUCUUCUUUAUUCACAUGGGUUGCCUCCCACGAAGCGCUUGCUUUAACGUCUUCCAGCCGGACGAUGCCUCCAAUCAAGCUUGAAUAGUGCCCACGGCAUGGAGGGAGACUUCCUCCACGACCUUCUCCCCAAAAGUUGUGUAAUAUGGCUUCAAACGAUGUCCAUUGACUUUAAAUUCUUGUUGCGUCUUCAAACUUUGAAUUUGAACUGCACCAUGUGGAAAAACAUUAGUAACAAUAAAAGGACCAAUCCACUUAGAACGCAACUUACCUGGAAACAACCAAGGCGAGAAUUAAAAAGUAACACUUUCUGCCCGAUAGAGAAUGUCUUGCUACGUAUCAUCUUGUCAUGGAAUGCCUUCGUUUUCUCUUUGUAAAUGCGAGCAUUCUCGUAGGCUUCAUUCCUAACUUCCUCAAGCUCAUUCAAUUGAAGCUUUCUAUGGAGUCCUGCGGCAUCAAUGUCCAUAUUGAAAGUUUUGACGGCCCAAUGUGCUUUGUGCUCCAAUUCAACCUGAAGAUGGCAUGGUUUCCCAUAGACUAGCCGAAAUGGGGACAUUCCAAUUGGUGUUUUGUAGGCCGUACGAUACGCCCACAAUGCAUCAUUUAAGCGCAAGCUCCAAUCUUUCCGGUUCGGCCCUACGGUCUUCUCCAAAAUCUGCUUGAUUUCUCUAUUUGAAACCUCCGCUUGCCCACUUGUUUGAGGAUGAUAAGGUGUUGCCACCUUAUACGUGACAUUAUAUUUCUUGAGUAGCGCCUCAAUUGUUCUAUUGCAGAAAUGGGAGCCCCCAUCACUUAUAAGUAUCCGCGGCAUUCCAAACCUUGCAAAAAUGUUAGUCUUAACAAAAUCUGCAACCACUUUAAAAUCAUUAGUAUGGGUGGCUCUUGCUUCCACCCAUUUCGAAACAUAAUCAACCGCAAGUAGAAUAUAAACAAAACCAUGAGAUGAAGGAAAAGGACCCAUGAAAUCAAUGCCCCAAACAUCAAAAAUUUCAACAUUAAAAAUGGGGCUUUGCGGCAUUUGGUCUUUUGGUCCUAUAUUUCCAGUUCGUUGACAACGAUCACAUGCUAUGCAAAACGUUCUAGCAUCCUUAAAGAUAGUAGGCCAAUAAAAACCACAUUCAAGUACUUUACGUGCAGUCCUUUGAGUGCCAAAGUGACCUCCACAUGCAUAAGUGUGACAAAAGUUUAGAAUAGACUGAAUUUCAGAAUCAUGCACACACCUACGAAUGAUUUGAUCAGAGCAAUAUUUCCAUAAAUAAGGAUCAUCCCACACAUAAUUUCGUGCAUCAUACUUGAGUUUAUCACGUUGAUUUUUAUUUAACUCACUUGGAAUGACUUUAGACGCCAAAUAAUUAACUAAAUCUGCAUACCAUGGCACACUAACCUCAAUGGACAUCAAUUGCUCAUCCGGGAAUGUCUCUGGGAUAGGCACGACAUCUUCUUCAUGCACCAAACGGCUCAAGUGAUCAACCACGACGUUCUCACUUCCUUUCUUGUCUCGGAUUUCGAUAUCGAACUCUUGGAGAAGAAGGAUCCAUCGAAUAAGCCUUGGUUUAGCCUCCUUCUUCGUGAGCAAGUACUUCAACGCUGCAUGAUCAGUGUAAAUUAUUACUUUAGUACCAAGUAAAUAAGAACGAAACUUAUCUAAAGCAAAACAACAGCAAGAAGUUCUUUUUCCGUCGUGGAAUAAUUCAAUUGAGCGUCGUUCAAGGUCCGAGAGGCAUAAUAUAUGACGUGUGGCUGUUUGUCCUUCCUUUGUCCCAAAACAGGGCCUAGAGCAUAAUCGGACGCAUCGCACAUAAGCUCGAAGGGAAUGCUCCAAUCUGGUGGCCGAAUGAUGGGGGCCGAAGUUAGCAUCUCCUUGAGGUGUUUGAACGCCUUUUCACACUCCUCGUUGAAUUCGAAGGACACAUCCUUUUGGAGAAGUCGGCAUAGGGGUGUGGAAAUCUUUGAAAAAUCCUUGAUGAAUCGCCUAUAAAAUCCUGCAUGGCCCAGAAAAGAAUGAACCUUUCUAACCGAAGUUGGAGAGGGUAAGUAGCGUACAAGAUCUAUUUUCGAUUUAUCAACCUCAAUUCCCCUUUCAGACACGAUAUGCCCUAAAACGAUGCCUUGUUUUACCAUAAAGUGACACUUUUCCCAAUUUAAAACAAGGUUCAUUUCCACGCAUCGUUUUAAGAUUAAUGUGAGAUUUUCCAAGCAACCAUCAAACGAAUCACCAAAGACACUAAAAUCAUCCAUGAAUACCUCAAUAAUUUUCUCAAUAAAAUCUGAAAAGAUACUUACCAUGCAUCUUUGGAACGUGGCCGAUGCAUUGCAUAACCCGAAUGGCAUGCCCCGGUAAGCAAAAGUACCAAAUGGGCACGUGAAGGUGGUCUUUUCUUGGUCGUUCGGAGCUAUGACAAUUUGAUUGUAUCCCGAAUAACCGUCAAGAAAACAAUAAAAAGAAUGACCGGCUAACCUUUCUAGCAUUUGAUCGAUGAAUGGUAGUGGAAAGUGGUCUUUCCUUGUGGUGUUGUUGAGCUUCCUAUAGUCAAUGCACACUCUCCACCCUGUUUGAAUACGGGUUGGCACAAGCUCAUCCUCGGCAUUCUUCACCACAGUAACUCCGGACUUCUUUGGGACAACUUGAACUGGUGAGACCCAACGGCUAUCCGAAAUUGGAUAAAUCACUCCACAAUCGAAAAGCUUUAUAAUCUCAUUUUUCACAACUUCCAUCAUCGGAGGGUUGAGUCGGCGUUGAGCCUCUCGAGUUGGUUUAGCCCCCUCCUCUAGAAAUAUGCGAUGCAUGCAUGUUGUAGGGCUAAUCCCCUUAAUAUCGGCCAAUGUCCAUCCAAUGGCUGUUUUGUGCUCUUUUAACACCCGAAUCAACUUUGCCUCCUCUAAUACCGUGAAUGAUGAGGAGACAAUGAUGGGCAACGUCUCUUCAUCUCCCAAAAAUACAUACUUUAAAUGAUCUGGCAAUGGUUUAAGCUCAAGAACGGGGGCCUGAAUCACAGAAGGUAACAACGUAUUAGUGGAAACGGGAAUUGGAAUUGGGUUAGAAGGCUUACCACGAUGUUGUGGCAAUGAUUCAAAGGCCGCCACAAGCUCGGCAUGUUCUUCCUUAGGUACGGCCAGAUUGGGUGGCAUUCCAAUUCCUUGUGCAAUUGUUGUUUCAAGGGGAUCGUCUUCCAACAUAUCAAGAUAAUCCUGCGCCAAUUCAUCCAAUAUAUCAAUAGAAAAGCAAGAAUGAUCAUCUUUAGGAAAUUUCAUAGCUUUAGAAAUGUUAAAAUUAAUAAUCUCCCCAUCAAAUUCCAUUGUUAACGUCCCCUUGAACACAUCGAUCUUGGUGCGUACUGUUUUCAGGAAGGGCCUCCCAAGUAAAAUCGGCAAUGGGGUGACAUUUGGUGAGUCCUCCAUCUCUAAAACGUAGAAAUCCGCUGGGAAUAUCAAGUUAUCCACCUGCACCAACACAUCUUCCAAAACUCCUUUCGGAUAUGCAUUAGAACGAUCGGCUAAUUGAAUUAUAACACCAUCGUUUUUAAGCUCUCCUAAGUUCAUAGAUGCAUAUAUUGAGUAUAGCAUGACAUUAAUUGAAGCUCCUAGAUCUAACAUGGCAUGUUCAAACUUAGUAUUGCCUAUAACACAUGGAAUUGUAAAACUCCCCGGAUCUUUGCAUUUAGGGGGUAAUUUUCUUUGUAAAACAGCGGAAACAUUCUCACUUACCUGGACAACCUCUUUGUUUGAAAUUCUCCUUUUUGUUGUACAUAGUUCCUUCAAAAACUUGGCGUACCUAGGUACUUGCUUAAUUGCAUCAAGAAGAGGUAUAUUGACUUGCACUUUCCGAAAUGUCUCCAAAAUGUCUUUCUCGUUCUCCUCCUUCUUGGAUUGCCUCAACCUGCUAGGAAAAGGCAUGUUUAGUGGAAUAGAACUAGGAGAAUUCGGUUUUGCACUUACCUUGGUCGAAUUAGAUGGGUUGGAAGGGCAAGAUGGCUGCGGCAAAGGUUGUUCCAUCCUUGCCGUGGGUGUGGCUUGUGUUUCCUCCUCAAACUGCAACUUUUCAUCCUCUUCAUGACUUGAUUUGGAUGCUCGGGGUUCAGUUCCAACUUGUUUGCCACUCCUUAAUGUGAUUGCUUUGGCGGUUUCGAAUCCCCCAUUUGGAUUUGCAACGGUUGAACUAGGGAGUCUUCAUUGGUCUCGAAAUUGUCCCAUAAAUUCGGCAAUCUGCCCCACUUGCUUCUCCAACUCGUCCACCUUCUUGUCCCUAGUUUGCAUGCCCUGCGCCAUAGAAGUUAGUAAAUUAAAAUUUUGAUCAUUAUCAAUAGAAGAACCUGAUUUUUGGGCGGGCUGUGCUUGGGGUUGAUUUGAUGCAAACGGCUUUUGAUAGAAACCCGGGGGUUGUCGCCUAAACGUGCUUUGUUGUUGGCCUUGUUGAGGUUCUCGCCAUUUUAAAUUUGGGUGAUCACGCCAACCGGGAUUGUAGGUAUUAGAAAAGGGGUCAUUCCUUUGUUGGUAUUGGUUGCCAAAUCCCACGGCAUUGAGGGUCUCCCACCCUCCAUUCUCUAUUAAUUGUGGGCACUUGUCUGUAGGGUGUCCUUGCAUGGAGCAUACGCUACAAGCUGCCACGGUUUGCACUUUUGGACCUUCCACCACCUGAGAAAGCAAAGUAGUAAGGUUAGCCAUUUGAUUUUGAAGUUCGGUUAUGGCACUUACCUCAUUCAUUUGGUGUUGCCGUGGGUUGCUCCUUUGUCCAACACCUUCGUAUUGUUGAGCAUUUAAUGCUCGAUUGGCAAUCAAUGUCUUUGCUACCGUGGGGGUCUUGUCCACCAAGGCUCCUCCCGCCGAGGCAUCUAGCAUUUGACGUUCGAUUGGUAAAAGCCCCUCGUAGAAGUAUUGUAGAAGAAGCUCCUCCUUCAUUUGAUGUUGUGGACAAGAAGCAACAAGAGAUUUAAAACGUUCAUAAUAAGUAGGAAAAGAUUCACCUUCCUCUUGUUGAAUUCCACUUAUCCUUUUUCGUAGAAGGAUGACUCGCGAAGUUGGAAAAAACUUCUCCAAGAAUGCCCGUUUCAUGCUCUCCCAAGAUGUGACUGUUCCGGGAGCCAAUUCAUAUAACCAAUCUUUCGCCUUUUCCAAGAGAGAAAAGGGAAAGGCCUUCAUCUUUAAUAUGCUCUCAUCGACGUUGAUUGGAGUCAUGCUUGAACAAACCACUUCGAACUCUUUCAAGUGCUUGUUAGGAUCCUCCAUGGACAACCCAUGGUACUUCGGAAUGUGGUGUAGCAAACUUGACUUCAACUCGAAUUCCUCGGUCUUUCCUUGGGCAGCUACGGGAUAUUGAAUACAUAGAGGUGCGGCAUUAUCCAAUCCCGAAGCCGAAAGCUCCUUAAUUGUACGAUUGUCUUGUGCCAUGGCUUCCUCCACUUCACCCACUCUUGCCGUGGGUUCCUCUUCCUCAAACUCAACUUCGGCCUCUGAGUUUGAACUUGAUUCACUAGGUUCUGGAUUCUUCCUUUUUCGUCUCAACUCUCGCUCAAAAUCGUCGUCGAAGUCCAAGAUGUGUUCACGAAUCGGAUGAGUAGUCCGAGUCAUAAACUAGUACCUAAAACAAGAAACAAAAACCACGUCAGAAUCUGGAAUUAAUUAAACAAACUAAAAUAAAACAAUCCAAGGGAUUAGCAACUUUGCUAAUCCCCGGCAACGGCGCCAAAAUUUGAUGUGAAAAUUAACUUGACACACAAAUUAAACCCUAUUGAUGACAAUUAUAGUAAUGAUGCAAGUAGGGAUCGUUCUAGACCGGGGAUUAACUAGGGAUGCUAAUCAACACAUAAGACUCAAAAACACUAAACUAGACUCUAUAGACUCAAAACUAACUCAAAACACUCAAAACAACAAAUAACAACCAAAAAGACUCAAUUCUAGACCUAACAAGUGAUUUGGACGAAAAUAGGACUUCAAAGACUCAAAAAGACUUAAAAGAAACAAGUUUUGACUCUAAAAACAAGACUUAAAAGUAAGGGGAUUGGUUUUGACGAAAUUGAACUUUUAAAACAUAAACUUUGUAAACAAACUUAAAGACUCACGAAAUUGAUGAAAUAGAAUGGUGAAAGGCUAGUUAGAGGGUUUCUUCUCCACACAUGAAACAUAUGCAUACGACUCGAUUUCCAGUUACUCUUUCAACAAACCAUGAAUGACAAUGCCCCAAAUUAACUAGAUUGCACCAAUUAAUUCUCAGAUUUCCCUAGAUUCAUUGAAUUGAAUGGAAUACGCAUUACAACCAAAUUAUUCUUAUCAAGGACCCCAACUAUGGAAUACGCAUGAUAGAGACACAUAUCAAAGAUCAUUAAGUUCAAUGGAAAUCAUAAGCAUUGACGAGGCAUUCAUAACUAUGGGAUACGCAUGUUACUCUUGCCAAGGAUUUACUUAACACAAUCGUGACUAGCGACUUUUACUACUUAUGAAUAUAAGUUAAUAACAAUUAGGUGAAAUUCCCUUACACUCUAGCAUCAAAUUCAUGCAUGCAACUUAAGUGUCGACCCUCAAUCAACAUACAUAAACAUGUUAUCAAUCAAAUAGAUAAGUAAACCACAUUCACGACUUAUGAAAUCAUAACUGGAGGAAAUCAAGUCAUAUAAAACAUAUGAUCAUGGCUUUGAAUUCCCCUCUAACUAUAAAGAAAUUAGUUCCUCAUGUUCGCAAAUAAACAAAGAUAAAUAAAUAUAAACAUUGACAUAAAGAUAGAAAACACCUAGAAACGCUCCAACAAUCCAAGCUCCUUGAAUGGCAUGCACGGCUCCAAGAGUCUCCUUCUUUCUCCUUUUCAAAGUCACGGCACACAAGGGAUGAUUGGGUGAAUGAUGUAGUGAAAAUCUGGUAGAGGGUGGUGAAUGAAUGGUGCGGCAUAAGGUUGUAUUUAUAGGCUGAAAAUCCCAACUCCUAGGUAGCAAAGGACAAGGUUUUAAAGGUCUAAUCUGCAUAGGACAAUAACAUACAAUCCUAUAAGGAAAACAAGUCAGAAAUCCAAAGGGAAUGGGAGAUAAGGUGCGGCACAAAACUAGCAGAUGAUAAGGCUUCUAGAAAUCUGAAAUCCCAAGGGAAAUAGGACAUAGGGUGCGGCAUAAAGGGUUGUUUCUAGAAAGAAAUACAAGGCAGAUUUUUAGGCUUCUAGAAAGGUUCUAGGCGCCAUCUUUGUAGGAAAGGAUUAGGUUUUCUAGAAAUCUGAUUUUAAGCAUCCUAAUAUAGCUAGGAAUCCUCCCAAGUAGCUGAAAUAUAGAUGGAUUAGGAUUAGGAUAAGAUAGGAUAGGAUUGGAUAGGAUAGGAUAGGAUUGGGUAGGAUAGGGUUUGGAUAAUGUUUUGGAUAAGGUUUCUUCACUUGAGCUGAUUCUUUGGCUUUAACUUCCCUUCUUCAAGUGGGAAACCUUGUUUGAGUAGGAAACUUCAAUCUUCUAGGAAUCCAACUUCACUUAGGAAUCCUUCUUCAACUAGGAAUCCAUGUUUGACUAGGAUUUCAUCUUCAAUUAAGCACUUUCCCACUUCAAUUAGGAAACUUUGCAUCUUCAAGUCUUCAACUUUGAAACACAUUCCUAGCUCUUCAUUCCUUCAAAUUCGUCCAUUCAUUGUGCUCCACAUGCAUGAGUUCCAUUCUAGCUCAAUUUUGCUCCAAAAUGCUCGAAAUUGCAUCCUUUUGCUUACUUUGUCCUUAAAACCUGAAAACACAUGAAAAUAGCUUAAAAGACUAACUUAACUAAGAAAACACAACAUAAAUGCAUAAAAACUAACUAACUAAGGCGCAUAAGUAUGCUCCUAUCACCACCUCUUCUCAUUAGCUUGGGUAACCAUGAUAUGCUGCUAGGUGUCACUCAUGGUUUGUGGAAGCCCUAAACGUGUAUAAUAAUCACUAAAGGGAGAAUUGAAAGUAAGUUUCAAUUCACAAUCGAUUUGAAAGAGUUUUAAUCGCCCACUGCCUCGCUAAAAGGAACCUAAUGGAUCGUACACCGUGUAAGGUGGAGAUUGAAGAAACAAUGGAGAUGAGUAAGAAUAAUUAAAAGGUUUAAUUAUUUAUGGCAAGGAUUAAUUAAUAUGUUAAUUAAUCAAAUGAAUAAGUUCGUUAAAGACCUCGGGAUAGUUUUGGACCUUAAGGCCCAAUGGGCUUCGAACGUCAAGCCCAUUGACUUAAGUUGUAUGACAAUUUAAUGAAUAAAGAUUCACAAAGGCCCAAAAGCCCAAAUCCCUAAUGUGGUCGGCCAUAUGUGUUGAAUUAGGGUUUUUUGGUUCUUUAGGUUAUUUAUAGAAGUGACUAUAUAAAGAACUUUAUAGCCUAAAAUUCAUUAAGGGUUCUUUUGGAGAAAAUUGGUGAGAACUUGUCUCUCCUUUUCUCUCUAGGAGGCCGGCCCCCUUGGAGGGUGGAUCUAGCAAUCCCACUACUCCAAGGUCACUCAUUCCUUCUCCAAUCUCUCCUUGGUGUGGAGACUUAGAGGUUCUCAAUUUUGGGAACUUGGAGAAACCUUUUCACCCAUCCAAAUCCAUAGAUUUUAGAUGCAAGGAAUGAAGGCCCUCUCCUUGGGUGAUUAGCCUUUGCUUAUGCAAAGAGGAAUCUACGAAGGUAUAAAUUUCUUAACUCACUUUGAUUUGAGUUGAGUCUUGGUUCACCAAUCUACUAGGCUUUGAAUUUCAUGGUUAAUGUUUUGUUUUUGAAUGCAUGCAAGCAUGAUUCCGCCUUUUAAUUGUUAAAUGCAUGCUAUAGAUGUUAUUCAAAUGAACAUGUUUUCACAAAAUAAUCCUUCACAAGGGUCACAAUGACUUGUUCUCAAACGAACGAUUGAACGAUUGCUUCAAGUUUUGAGCUUGAAACAAUGCGUGGAUAGUCUUUACCUCUAGGUUUAUCUAUGACCUGCGGUAAAGGUGAUGUUGAUGUGGGAUUUUGUUGAUGACACACCCCAACCCGGAAUGUCCACUAGGACUCGGAAUCGAGCUGUGUUGGCCAACACCUGGAAAGUGAUGAAGCCAUAAAGUGUGAUGAUGUGGAAAAAAUGUAAAUAGAUUUAAACAUAAGAGUGCUUAAAUACCAGAGUGCACUGGUGAGCGGGAAUGAACCCACUUCACGCGUGACGUUGAAGCAUAAGCAAGUACAUAAGAGUGAAUUAAGAAUCAUACCUUUGAAACAAUCUCCAAUACUAAGAAUCGCCACAAAUGUUCGACGAUAAGAAAGCUCAGCUAAUAAAACCUGGAGGGUGAAGACAAGACAAGGGUGAGUGGCCCUGUAAAUAAAAUUUUAAUAAAAAUCAUAGAAAACAUUAUAUCCUCUCGCUACAACACCUGUGUAGUUUCCAGAAAAAUCAUAAAUAUAUUACAACACAGCAUCUCGUCAGCAAUAUCAAAUAAUCGUGUGAUUAAUAACUCAUACUAGUACGCAAAUCGAAGUCACCUACGGUGACCUAUACGACUUACCCAUAUCUCAUCACAUAUACUAGUUCAACACAUAUUUCAUCACAUAUGCUAGCUUAUCACAUAUUCAUCACAUAUGCUAGCUCAUCACAUAUUCAUCACAUAUGCUAGCUCAUAAGUCGGAGUCACCUCUAGUGACCUAUACGACUUAUCCAUAGCUCAAUAAGUAUACCUGCACAUGAGUCGGAACCACUUGAAGUGGUCUGUACGACAGGACUGGGUGUAAAUAAAUACGCUCAAGUCCUACGAUCACGCAAAGACUGUAUGAAUAAUCAUGGGUCACCUACUAGUCUUAACCACCUAAAGUGGUAUGUAUGACAGGACUAUGCACCUACCUUGGAUCCGAGGUGAGCAUAAGGUGCAAGAGGUGAACAUCAUGUGAAGGACUGUGCCCUGGCCACGAGCGGGAGCACUAACACCAAGGUGCAGGUUUAUGAGCUCUCAAUGUAUCUCAACAUAACAUGUACGACUCAUGGGUAACCCGUACGACAGUGUCAGAGUUGCUUAAAACAUGCAUGUAGUCAUGCCAUAACUCCAUCAUUUCAACUAAUACCAUAAACUUACCUAAACUUACCUGAGUGUCCUGCGUUCACCUUGGCAUCUCAAGCAUUCACAAUAAUUAUGUGCAAAUAAUAUACAUAUAGGUAAACUAUGAUGCAAUCUGAUACUUAAACAUGUCAUAGCAUUAUCAAUUAUAUACAUCCACACACACACACACACACACACACACACACACACACACACAUAUAUAUAUAUAUAUAAUAUGGCAUAAAAUGUAUAAGCUGUAAUGCCCUACUUUCGAACUAUUUAUUUUCGGAAAUAAUUAUUGGUGAUAAGCCCACCUAGACACUAGUUUAAUUAACUAUCAUCACUUACGUUUCUUUACUUCAAAUUCUUGAUUCUUCACACAUUGAUUUAUGACCAACAAUUAAUUGUUGGAAAUGUGCCCUAAAGCCAAUCAUAUGAUGAUACUUUACGGACAUUUCACAUGUUAAACUAAUCUAGUUUAAAUAUAAAGGGAAAAUAUUACUGUUUGAGCCGUCUCAUAUAAAUGUUAUAUGCUUAAACGAUAAAGUCCAAGGAAUAUGUGAUUGGGAGAAUACGAUCUAAAGAAGUUAGAUUCAUGAGACCAUUCUUUCGUAGACACAUCCUAAACGUUCCUGAUCAUAGGAUUGCCAAUUGGGCAUUGACAGUCCAUUAAGAUCAGUACGUGCUGUGUCUUCUCUCAGGGAGAGUGACUAGUCUCGAGUCAUUGGUGUGUGUGACAUCAAGACAGGUACGUAGGUGCUCAGUAGAGAAUAAGUUCACUGAACACGAUCAACGAAGAGUUCUCAUAUUCAUGUCACAUGAGAACUCAUGGUUGGGAUAAUGCAAAGUAGUCCUUUGACCUGAGGCAUCACAGCUGUCUUAUGGUUAAGUCCUUGAUCUUUGAUUAUGUCAAAGUCACCCCAUCCGCGGGUGUCCACGGCAUCGUUGGGGUUAAGUCACUUAGCUAUGGAGGCAAGUGAAUGCGCAACAAGGGAUCUCUAACCUUCAAACCGUUUGAGGGAGAAUACUCUAUGAUAUGAUUUAGAACCUCUGGCCAGAGUAUGAAUGAGAUUUAGGAAGUCGUUCCAAAUCACAUUCAAGGUAAUCAUAUAAGCACACGAAUCACAUUGGAUAGUAGACAUGAAUAAAUAAACUAUCAAACCAAACAAUGUGGUCAAGAGUAUUAUUGGAGAAAGACCAUAUUGCAUUUGUAAUCCUAAACUGAAUAGGUUCUCUACCUCUUCUGAUUAGCUUGGGUAACCAUGAUAUGCUGCUAGGUGUCACUCAUGGUUUGUGGAAGCCCUAAACGUGUGUAAUCACUAAAGGGAGAAUUGAAAGUAAGUUUCAAUUCACAAUCGAUGUGAAAUGGUUUUAAUCGCCCACUGCCUCGCUAAAAGGAACCUAAUGGAUCGUACACCGUGUAAGGUGGAGAUUGAAGAAACAAUGGAGAUGAGUAAGAAUAAUUAAAUGGUUUAAUUAUUUAUGGCAAGGAUUAAUUAAUAUGUUAAUUAAUCAAACGAAUAAAGUUCGUUAAAAGACCACGGGUUAGUUUUGGGCCUCAAGGCCCAAUGGGCUUCGAACGUCAAGCCCAUUGACUUAAGUUGUAUGACAACUUAAUUCACAAAGGCCCAAAAGCCCAAUAAAACCCUUAUGGCCGGCCAUGUUAGAGAGAAUGGCCUUUUGGUUCUUUAGGUCACUUAUUUGAAGUGACUAUAUAAAGGACUUUAUAGCCUAAAAUUUAUAAUGGGUUUCUUUUAGAGAAAAUUGUUGAGAACUUGUCUCUCCUUUUCUCUCUAGGAGGCCAGCCCCCUUGGAGGUUGCAUCUAGCAAUCCCACUACUCCAAGGUCACUCAUUUCUUCUCCAAUCUUACCUUGGUGUGGAGACUUAAACGUUCUCAAUUUUGGGAACUUGGAGAAACCUAUUCUUCCAUCCAAAUCCAUAGAUUUAAGAUGCAAGGAAUGAAGGCCCUCUCUUUGGGUGAUUAGCCUUCGCUUAUGCAAAGAGGAAUCUACAAAGGUAUAAUUUCUCAACUCACUUUGAUUUGAGUUGAGUCUUGGUUCACCAAUCUACUAGGCUUUGAAUUUCAUGGGUAAUGUUUUGUUUUUGAAUGCAUGCAAGCAUGAUUCCGCCUUUUAAUUGUUAAAUGCAUGCUAUAGAUGUUAUUCAAAUGAACAUGUUUUCACAAAAUCAUCCUUCAUUAAUCAUCAAGUAGUAAGAUUAACUCUCACACUUUCCACCAAUGUCCCUCACAUUACUCAAUUCCCUAACAAGACUAUUGCCUCAAUUAUUUAGUCUCACUUCUUGUAUGGCUGCAUCUAACAUCUCGUUAGACUGCUUACGUACCCUAAACAAGGAUCAAGCCAUUCGUAGUUCAUGAUAGUUUUUCAAAGCAUUCACAAUAAUCAUAAGCAAUAAUCAAUUUAUAAACAUUUAUGGAAUUGUCAAUCAUAUAUAUAUAUAUAUAUAUGAUAGAAUGGAAAAGAUCCACUCACCUGAGGUCCGUGCUACGAUUCCCUAGCACGCAUAUUGAGACAUCACGAACCAUUGUCGCCUAUGACCAAUUAUCAAAUCACAUCUCAGAGUUCUGACCGAUAAAAUACAUAAUUUACAUAAAAUGCAUCCCUACAUAAUUGAAUUCGGAAGAUCUGCAUCAUGGAUUUCCGAUCCGUUGCUUCCAAAGAUCCACAUUAUACUUCUAGAACAACAUCCUAAGGUUUCAUUACGAUCCAACUGACACACCCCGUCCCGAACGAGGGUAUGCUAGCUGUCACGUGAGAGUGACGUAACCAUUUACACAGUUCGAAAGCUUUAAAAAUACAAUUACUAAGAUGAAACACCCGAGGGUGAGUCUUACUUUUGUGAAUUCUGUCAGAACACCGUUGUAUUCCUCGUGGCCACCAAAGCUCUGCUAUCUAGAACCUGGAGGGGCGCAAAACAAAAUUGAGUGGGUCAGUAAAACAAAGUUUUUUGAAAACAUUUCAUUUAAAACAUUUCUAACCCCUCACUGUAAAACCUGUAUACUUUCCCAGAAAAUAACAUAAUAGGAUAUACCUUCAAAUAUCUCAAAUCAUCAAUCUUUAUCAAAACGAGAAAGUAUGCCAUGCCAUAAAUGUCAAUAACAGAUUAAGAAUGCAUUAAUAUAACGGGUGAAAUAAGGAAUCAACCGUACAGGGCAAAUUGUCACAUCCCAACCCGGGGCGGACCACUUCCAGGGCCCGCUCCACUACCGUAGCAUGAUAUUAUCCGCUUUGAGCCUACCAUACCCUCACGGUUUUGUUUUUGGGAACUCACAAGCAACUUCCCAGUGGGUCACCCCAUCCUAGGAGUGCUCUGGCCUCCUUCUCGCUUAACUUCGAAGUUCCUACGUAACCUGAAGCCAGUGAGCUCCCAAAAGGCCUCAUGCUAGGCAGGGAUGGGAAUAUACAUUUAAGGAUCACUCCCCUGGGCGAUGUGGGAUGUUACACCAACGGUCAGAUCUCCACCAAUUGCCAAAAUCAAGUGGCGGUCAACAUUUUAUUUUAUGAACUUACAAAUCCAAUUCGGGAAGAUCUGUAUGUCGGAUUCCCGAUCCGUAAGUUUCUAUGGUCCUCAAAUAUUACCUACUAUAACAUACUAAAGUAAGGUGACGAUCCAACGGUCGGAUCGUUGAUUCAUAUAAUGACCUAUUAACGUAACCUAGAGAAUUUAGAUUCUAACAAUCAACCUACGUCAUACAAUUACCAAAAUUGAACUUAAAGCAUCUAAUUAGCCUAAGAAUAACAUCGACGACCCCUGGCCACGUGCUGCUCCGACUUUCCGAAAAAUCCAACUAUUUUAAAAAAUUAUCAAAAUUUAUAGGAAUGAAGAUCUCAAUGAGUAGAGUAAACUUUAUACCUGUGGCAAAGUCCAAUUUGGCUGGGAAAAGCUCCAAUUUUGCUCAAACCCGCCAGAACCCUAAAAAAUGAUGUGCUUCAAUUCGACCUCCAUACUCACUCCGACGCCUCUACCAUCACUUGGGCUUUGUUCAUGAGGUUGAGGGGAGCCUAUUGGUAGUGACAAUUAGCUGAGUUAGCUUCACGAUUUAUGGAUUGCCAUCGAACACCCACACGCACCACCGGUGCAUUUCUCCCGAAUCAAAGGCCAAAUUGCAUGAAUUUAGGGGUAUAAAUGGUAGAGAGAAGACUAGGGAGGUGUUUCCAGAUGAUUGUUUGGCUUAAUUCACCGGAAUUUGGCCGAGAAACCAUCGGUUUGUAUGGUUCCCGUUGGCCGGGUCAUACGGGUCAAGGAAGACCUGUUUUGGGUUCCGUCCUUUUCUUCUUCUCUCCUUUCCCUCCUGGUUCUUCUCUCCCAUUCGUCACUCUCCCUCUCUCCUCAUUUCUGAUUGGGCAGUGCCUAUCUCCUUAUUCUCCCUCUCUUUCGCUGCCAUCAGGCAACCAUCCCCCUUCCUCUUUCUUAUUUUUUUUUAUUAAUCUCCCCCAACCCAUUACAUAAAAAAAAUAAUAAGAAAUGAAUAAGAUAAUAAAUAACAAUCCUUACCAAUGUACUUUUGGAAUACGGUAAGGUAUUAGUUCAUACGCAUCAUGAACUAACGAUCAACGAAAAUCAAUACCCUCGCCUCUAGGGUAUUCUCGUAAAUUUCACAUUUUAAGAUUUAUAAAAUAAUAAAAUUUGGGACGGGUUGUCACAGUUGAUUCAAGGGAAUGCUUCGGCUUUGGUCGAAAGAAAGCUUUGACUUCGGUUGUACGUUCUUCGAAGAGAGCUUUGGCAGCAUAUUAGCCUUCAAAGAUUUGGCAGAAGUUCUCCUUUUGUAAGAAUUUCGACCCUUCAAUGUAGAAAUUAUCGACCUUUAUGCUUGUCUAAGGACCUUGUAUUUAUAGACUUCUUAAAGCUUGCCUUUGGAUGGAUUUAGCUUUGAUUUGUGUCUUGAUUCGUCCACGGGAGAAUUUAGGCAUAUUUUGUGUCUUAAUUUCAGCCACUUUCCCUUGCUUGGGGCUUUUUUGCCUAUUUUGCAAGCAAUCUUCAAUUCUUGCUUGUUUUGUGAAGAUGCUUUAGCUUUCUUUCCGGUUUUGGGAGAAAUUUGGGCCGCUUGCCAAUUUUAAGGAGAUUUCUUCCCCUUUGCCGCAUUUUAGGAAUGCUUUUGAGCUUCCUUUGCUUGAUUUGUGCCACAUGUCAUUGAUGACUUGUCCAUUUGCCAUGAGUCAUAUGUCAUGAAGCAUUCUGAUACAUUAUCUACAUGCAACGAAAUUUACAUGUCUACAAUUUUUAUUUGCACGUUAGGUCUUGGUUCGAUUUUCCCACUGACCUCAGGUUCGGGGCGUGACAAAAGAGUUUAGGAUUUACUAAAUAUGGAACCAUCUGGUUGCAUUAAUUUAAUCCUCAAAAAAUAGGAUUUAAUUGAGUAUUUGGGAGUCAAACAAUUUAAGCCAAAAUAUCAAAAGAGAGCAUAUCAAUUUUAUUUCAUUCCAGAGGAAGUGCAUAUUUUACCCAAGUCUUCUUCCAUGAUGGUAGGAACAAUAGUAUUAUUGGGAUAGAUACACGAAUGACUUUAAAUAUAAGAAGCCGAAUAGGCGGAUUGGUUCGAAGGGAGAAAAAAAAAACGACUGAACUAAAAAUAUUUUCUAUUUUCAAAAUUUAUAAAUUAUGAAAAUGUGAAGGAUUAUUUUGUGAAAACAUGUUCAUUUGAAUAACAUCUAUAGCAUGCAUUUAACAAAUUAAAGGCGGAAUCAUGCUAGCAUGCAUUAAAAAACAAAACAUUACCCAUGAAAUUCAAAGCCUAGUAGAUUAGUGAACCAAAACUCAACUCAAAACAAAGUGAGUGGAAAUCAUACCUUUGUAGAUUCCUUUUUGCAUAAGCAAAGGCUAAUCACCCAUAGAGAGGGCCUUCAUUCCUUGCAUCUAAAAUCUAUGGAUUUGGAUGGAUGAAAAGGUUUCUCCAAGUUCCCAAAAUUGAGAACCUCUAAGUAUCUUCACCAAGGUUAGAUUGGAGAAGAAAUGAGUGACCUUGGAGUAGUAGUAUGGCUAGAUACCCCUUCCAAGGGGCCGGCCUCUUUAGAGAGAAAAUGAGAGACAAGUUCUCACCAAUUUUCUCCAAAAGAAACCCUAAUGAAUUUUGGCUAUAAAGUCAUAUUUAUACCUUUAUUCAUUUGAGUGGCAAACUUGUAAUUAAAGCAAGUUCACUACCCUUCCUCUAAAUGGCCGGCCAUAGGGUUUUGUUUGGGCUUUUGGGCCUUUGUGAAUUAAGUUGUCAUACAACUUAAGUCAAUGGACUUGACGUUCGAAGCCCAUUGGGCCUUGAGGCCCAAAACUAUCCCGAGGUCUUUAACGAACUUAUUCGUUUGAUUAAUUAACAUAUUAAUUAAUCCUUGCCAUAAAUAAUUAAACCAUUUAAUUAUUCUUACUCAUCUCCAUUGUUUCUUCAAUCUCCACCUUACACGGUGUACGAUCCAUUAGGUUCCUUUUAGCGAGGCAGUGGGCGAUUAAACCAUUUUACAUCGAUUGUGAAUUGAAACUUACUUUCAAUUCUCCCUUUAGUGAUUACACACGUUUAGGGCUUCCACAAACCAUGAGUGACACCUAGCAGCAUAUCAUGGUUACCCAAGCUAAUCAGAAGAGGUGGAGAACCUAUUCAGUUUAGGAUUACAAAUGCAAUACGGUAUUUCUCUAAUCUAAUACUCUUGACCACAUUGUUUGGUUUGAUAGUUUAUUUAUUCAUGUCUACUAUCCAAUGUGAUUCGUGUGCUUAUAUGAUUACCUUGAAUGUGAUUUGGAACGCUUUCCUAAAUCUCAUUCAUACUCUGGCCAGAGGUUCUAAAUCAUAUCAUAGAGUAUUCUCCCUCAAACGAUUUGAAGGUUAGAGAUCCCUUGUUGCGCAUUCACUUGUCUCCAUGACUAAGUGGCUUAACCUCAACGAUGCCGUGGACACCCCGAUGGGGUGACUUUGACAUAAUCAAAGAUCAAGGACUUAACCACAAGACAACUGUGAUGCCUCAGGUCAAAGGACUACUUUGCAUCCCAACCAUGAGUUCUCAUGUGACAUGAAUAUGAGAACUCUUCAUUAAUCGUGUUCAGUGAACUCAUUCUCUAUUGAGCACCUACGUACUUGUCUUGAUGUCACACACACCAAUGACUCGAGACUAGUCACUCUCCCUGAGAGAAGACACAUCACGUACUGAUCUUAACGGACUGUCAAUGCCCAAUUGGCAAUCCUAUGAUCAGGAACAUUUAGGAUGUGUCUAUGAAAGAAUGGUCUCAUGAAUCUAACUUCUUUAGAUUGCAUUCUCCCAAUCACAUAUUCCUUGGACUUAUUGUUUAAGCAUAUAACAUUUAUAUGAGACGACUUAAAACAAUAAUCUUUGCCCUUGAUAUUAAACUAGAUUAGUUUAACAUGUGAAAUGUCCGUAAAGUAUCAUCAUAUGAUUGGUUUUAGGGCACAUUUCCAACAAUCUCCCACUUGCACUAGAGCCAAUCAGCUUGGUCAUCAGUGAUGAUACCUCUUCUGUAGUCAUUUCAUAAAUGGCUGAGUAGUAGGCCUAGACAAUGGAUAUCUAUAUGUUAUCCAUAGAAGCAACCUUGAGAAUAACGACGUCACCAUUAUACAUGAUUCUCAAUCAUGUGGUUCAGUCUCUCAUAUGAGUUCGGACCUUGAUGAGACCUUGAUUCCCUGGCUUGAGCUAUCGCCCCAUUAGUGUCGUACACUUUCUGGUUGGAACUGAAUAGAGAGUUCAUAAAUGAACUUUCCCAUCCAAACAACAUUGUUGUAAACUUCUAUAUGGCAAUAUAUUUUGCAUUCAUAAUGGAACACACUAAAGUCAUUACUUUAAUGUUUCCAUCCAAAUAUCUCUUUAGUCAUAAUAAAGAGAUAUCUGUUUAUCUCUUCAUUCAUAAUGAAGAAACAUCCAAUGAUGGAUUAGAUUCACAAUCUAAUACAUUUACGCUUCCAUUACGUUACUCUAAUUCUUCCUCAUUCUUUGAGGAAUCUAUCCUUUAGUAUUUCUUAAAUACUUAAGGAUUCACUUGACAGUUGCCAUGGUUCUGAUCCUGGGCUUGCACUGAUAUCGUCUUGUACCGUUCUAGGUACAACUCAUAUCAAUGUCUUUCAUACAAUAUGAAAUACAUAAAUCACCUUUCCGCUUACGCAUAAAGGAUUAUAUUUACGCAUUUAUUUCUUUGGGAGUCAAAGGGUACGUUCCCUUUGAGAAGAGCAACAUCUUAGUCUCACUAAAGUUGUCCUCUUGAUUGAAGUUUAUCAUCAUAUGAGAAACUUCCUAGCAUCUCUUGUCUAUUAUUAGGGAUUGAUAUAAUCAAAUUAUAUCCUAAAAUCUAUCAUUAUAGAUUUCCAUCCCAUGUAUAUAGACUAUGUCUCCCAUAUACAUUCUAUCUUCAUAUAAUGUUUUAAAGUCAUAACUUUAACGAAGAAGUAUUAUUUUCAUUUCCAAAAUUAAUAUAUCAUAUAUAUUUAAAUUUUAGGAACAUGAUUAACUCCCAUAUACAUUCUAUCUUCAUAUAAUGUAUUAAAGUCAUAACUUUAACAAAGAAGUAUUCAUUUCAUUUCCAAAAUUAAUAUAUCAUAUAUAUUUUAAAUUUUAGGAACAUGAUUUAACUCCCACUAAUCUUUUGUAAACCUAGUAAACAAAAGAUUCAUUUACAUCUUUAUGAGAAAUCAAACGAUUUAAUCCUUUUUCUCAUAAGAUGCUUAUAGCUCCCACUAGCUUGCUAAGAUUCAUGAUGGAUGGAUCUCUACAACUUACAUGUCUUGUGAUUUAUAAUUUUAGACAUAUAUUAUCAAGACUAUCUUAACAAUGGUUUCGGAAACCCAUAUUAUGUCCAAAUAUUGAAUCACCAUUUAGUUGUAGCUAGCAAUCUUCGAAUUAAUCGAAACCAAGACUAUCUCAAAAAUGGUUUCUUCAAAGUCAACCAUUCUCUUUGAUUGUAGUCGCCUUAAGCUACCAAUUAGCUUAUGAAGGUUUCAUUAUUUCGGGUCAAAUGGUAUUUUAUCAUUUCCUUGAGUAUAUAUCAUAUAUACAUUCAAUGUAGUCAUAAGGAUUUUCAUUCUUAUUUCUUUCGAAUUAAGAGGUGCAACUCUAUGACUUAGUCAUAAAGUUCAAACCAUUCAACUGAGACGGUUUAUAAAUCCUUCUAGACUACCUUGGAGCUUGUGGUAUAGGAACUAGGUUGUUAUUUGUUGAUUAUUAUCUUGUCUCUCAAAGAACCCAUUCUUUGAGUUCUAUCUCUCGUUCAUUUGCGUUUAGGCAAAUCAUAUUGUAGGAUUACAAUGAACUACCCAACAAAACAACAUUUGUUAGUUGGUUUAUAGAAGCGAUAUCCAAAAGUUAAUUUAAGGAUAUCCCACAAGAAUGUUAUCAAACAAAUAUUGCUUAUAAGCACACAACCCCAAAUCUUAACAUGCUUAAGAUUUGUCUUUCUUUCCAACUACAUCUUAUGAAGUCAUGAAAAUUUUGGAAGAUCUUCUAAUUGACAAUCAUAUUGUUUUAGAAGUAUAUAUCCUAUAUAUGGGUAAUAGAUAACAUCUAACGAACUAAAUCUUAUUCAAGUUCGUUCUUCUCCUAAUGGAGAAAUUCAUUAUCUUAUGAUGCUUCUUUCCUUGAUAUCUUUCAAGGAAACUCAUCUAAAGUGUUACUUUUCCUUGGAUCAAAUCUAAGGAGGUAAAUACUUUAGACGUCUUACUCAUCAACUUACAUUUCUUGAAUUCUUUGAAACCUUUUGCAAAGUAUUCGGACUUGUGUUUAUUCAAAAUAAACUAUAGUCCAACCGAGAGUGAUCUUCGGUGAAUGUCAUACAACAUGAGUAGUAUUAUUUUGUGGACAAGUGCCACUAACAUCUAAGUGAAUUAACCUCAACAACUUUGUGAUUCUUUCUUCUUUCCAAAAGAAUAAAGAUUCGAACAUUUCGCCUCGAUACAACUUUAACAAGAAGGUAUUGGAUCCGGAUCUAACGAUCCAAAGCAUCCAUCUUUCACCAACUCGUAACUUAUGGUUUUAGAGGUAUCACAACUUAGUUGGGAUUAGUCACUACCUUGCAACCCUUUUGGGUUUUAAGCAUCAUUAUAUUCUAAACAGUUAACACUACCAUAUCAUCUCUACUAUAGAGACAAUCAAUUAGAUUACUAUAAUCCAAGCAUUGAUUAAUAAAGAACAAUGUUUUGUCAAACAAAACAUUCAUCCAUCUCUACUAUAGUAACGGAAUUAAAUUCCUUAAAAUUGGAAUGUAAAGACAAUCUUUGGUUUUUCCAAUUUCUUUGGUAGUUCAUAUGAGGAAGUAAGUACUAUCUGCUUUCAUAGAGAUCUAUAUUUUAUUCACGUUCCGAAUGUGAAGCACCUUUUUUUUUCUCUCAUAUAUCUUCUACUUCUUAUUAGUCACACUUUUACAACGAUUGUAAAACAUAGUUACUAAUACGAAAUCAAGCAUUCAAGUAGAAGAACCAACUGUUUUGAACUUUUUAAGAACAAUUUACAACACCUUCGAAAGGUGUGUUCUUGACACUUGCAAGACAUUUCUUGCAAAUACCCCUUCCAAUGUCCAUCCUUUCAUAAAGAAAGUUUGUUCCCUUGGAGUUAAUUCUUAUCUUCUUCAUUUGACUUUCACCGUUGACUACAUUAGUCAUGGUCCCUAAACUCCCACUAUCUCUCUUGAAACCUUUUUCAAUUGUGUUAUACACAUCAAACAAUUUUGGAGAGCGUGUGGAUAUUGGUCACUAUAUAGUUUACAAUAAACUUAGUGAACCAUUAGGAUAGGGAAACAAAGGUGAAGUCCUUGCCUAGUUUCCGUCUCGUUAAGUGGUUUAACACUUCAACACUCAAUGAUUCAAAAUCAUCAUAAGUCCAUGUUAAUGGACUAUUUUUGUCAACCAACCAUUAUGUUCUAAACAUAAUUACAAACUUUCAAGAGUUGUUCAAGGCAACUCUCAUUUCUUCAUACAACAAUUUGUAAGUGAAGAAUCAUGGCACAUAAAGUGUCCAUGCACUUGUGCUUUCUUCUAAAGUUCCUUGUUCAUGUAACAAAGAAACAAGCACUAAUGUUUGCAUUGACUAAGAGUUGUUCAAAGCAACUCUUAUUUCUUCAUACAACAAUAUGUAAUUGAAGAAUUAUGACAUUAAAAGUGUUGUCCUCUUUAUGAUAGACUUUUCUAACAUAUUCUUCUAAUGAUACAUUAUCAAUAGGAAGAUUGUGAGGAUGAGAUUACUUAGGUACAUUUACAAGCCAUUAAAGAAAAUCUAUGGUUUUGUAGUACCAAGUUCGGAAACUAAAGCUUUCGGCUUUUAUUUGUCAAGUGUUGGAUAACGUUUGCAAAUAUAUUGGUAAACAAAUACAUAACGAAUAUAAAUUGAUUGAUUUUAAGCCAUUUGAUUCGGGUCUUUAAAUCAAAUAGCACCACCCACUAUUUUUGGCAAAUUCCAUAUCCCUCAUUGGAAUUCGAGAGUUUUGGAGGAAACUCUUAGUAGGGUAUGGGAGACUCACUACUACCAAGCCCACCUCAGAAGAAAAAUCAUAUUGGCUAGCGUUAAUAAUAAUGAGAGAGUACGCUUACUCAUUUGCAUCUCUUGCAAGUACCCAUCUAGUUUGGCCUCUAGAGAAUAAUGCCUCAGAAGAAUAUCAUAUUGGCACAUUGCACUUAGUUAAGUCAUUCCCACCAUGCUAGUUCAAGUAGGGGUUCAAGGAUGGCCUCAGAAGAAUAUCAUAUUGACCACACUCGUUGCCUACCUUUCACUUCAUCAUAUGUAUAUAGGCUUCUCCUGAAUGUAAGCACAUACUUUGCAACCCCAGAAUUCGACGAAUACGGUGUAUGAGUCACAAACGAUUGAAGCCCACCACGAUGGAAGGCCACGAAAGAGUGUUCAAAGCACUCUCACGCUUAUCAGCUUAAUAAUGGUUUGGUUGAGGGUUUUAGGUCUCAUCACAUAUAAACAUUCAUUUUAAUCUAAUUAAAACUAUUUGGUCCUAUUACAACUAUUGGUCCAUUUGAUUGUUUUUAGUUGUAUAUAAUACUCCCACUAUGCUUAUAAAACGGUUUUUAAAGCAAGAGUAUAUGAUACUACUAACAUAACCUUUGCAUUCAUUUGAUGGACUAUAUAGUUGCCUUAGGGCCUUAGGAUGACUAUGAACCUUUGUUUAGAUUCAACACGAGCCUAGUGUUGAAUCUCGGUCUAGGGAUGGUGAUUGAUUUUAGUUACGCGUUUAAUCACAUUAAGGCGUGUUGUCUUAGGGGCGUUGGACCCAACUACUUCAUUUUCAUGCAUAUCAUAAUAAAGCAAGAAAGAAGUACUUCAAAGUAAAGGUGAGCUUAUGCUCAUUACAACAUUUGCAUAAAACAAAUUACCUUAAAGUAAAGAAGGGCUUAUGCCCUUUUACAACAUUUGAUCAAAUCAAAUUACAACCAAAAUCUAAUCUACACAUUCCCAUGGUUCAAACAAAUUUGAAACGGCCUUUCACAUAGCUCAAUUAUAUUAUGCUUAGGUUCAUAAUCAUCCUUUAAUUAAUUAACGCUUUAACUAAUUAAAUUGAAUGCAACAUUUUCAUUUGGUUUUUGUAUCCAUAAAAUUGAUUUAAAUGGAGCUAAAUGAAAUGAAAAUCCAAUUCUCAUUUAAAGAGACAAAACAAUUUUGUUCUCAACCUAAUUUGGGCCAAUAUGCAAUAACCACAACUUAUUUGGGCCAUAAAGCAAUUAACCUCAACUUUUGGGCUAUAUUGCAAAACUUUUGGGAUCACUUUGUAAAGACACAAAAGUCCACUACUUCAUGUAAUUACAACUAGAACCCAAAAUUUUAAUAAUGCAAAAACUUCAUUAAAGGAGCAAAACAAUUUGUCCUUUAGCGUUUUUGGACCUAAACGUAAAAACGUAAACUUUUGGACCAAAGUGCAAAUACACAAAAGUAUCAAAACUUUAUGUAAUUGCAUAAAAGCCCCAAAAGUACUCCCUUUGAGGAGUGGCCGGUUUUGGGAGAGGGAUUAGAGUGAUGUGUGUGUUGAUUUGUGAGUUUUGACAUAAAGCAUGCAAGUGGUGCAAGUGGUGUGUGUGAAAGGAAAUUAAUCCUUACACACCCACCAAUAUCUCUUACACCAUUUAAACAAAUAUCUAAAACAUUUAAACAUUUGAAAAUCAUAAAACAUAAACUUUAUGAAAUAAUUCAAAACUUUGAAUCAAAUCACCAAACUUUAUGUUCUUGGCAAAAAUGUCAAGAACAAUGAAGAACACUCAUGAAAAACCCAAAAUUUUUCCAUGAACAUUUUUCACCCAAAAACAUUCCAAAACCAUUCAAACUUAAGGGAAAUAACAUCUAAC
rnacentral:lncRNA from 1 species